GUAUAGCUAUAUAUGAAAACAAAACAUAUCUUGAGGACGCCCUUUGCUUUUGUUUUGUCGUAUUGAACUAAAUAACAUUCACUUUAAGCAGAGGGUGCAAUAAGUACUUGUUUCCAAAUACAAAAGAAGAAGAAAACAAUCCUUAAUAUGUAUAGGGGAAGAUAAUUAGACAAGCAGGUUAGGGCCCGUCAAAGUGUCGAGCCAAGCCAAAAUAUAAGCAUCCACGUAAAUACAUGUGGGAGGUAUAUAUAUAUAUUAAUAGAGACCUAAAAAUUAAGUCUGCAUCCACGUAAAUACCUCCACACAAUUAACAGCUCCUCAAUUUGUUGGAAUGUUCCACGCCUCGCAAAAAGCACGAGCACUGACGAAGAAAAUAGUAAAGUGAAUUAGAUUCUUGAAACUAGCAUGACAAUAAUAAGAGUGAAAUAUAGAUGUCAAGGCAUAAUAACCUUCUUAACUGAUACAUAAGAUAUUGACAUAUAAUUAAAUGUGCAUUUCUUAAGCACAACGAAAACAAUUGCAUCAAUCACAAGCUGCAAAACAUAAGUCGAUAUCAAACCAAAAACUUAUCAAAAAUCUCUGUCCUCCUACACACGAAUACUGAAUUCCAUAAAAGCAACAGUCAUGUCUUCCGUAUUGAAAGAUACAACUCCUAGAUUCGUCCGCCAGUAGAGAAAUUAUAACACCUUUUUCAUGUAAUGUUGAAAGGAGAUGAAUUUAAUUCAGGAAUUGGCGCGAGGAAGCCUUCGUAUGAUAGUUAAGCUUAGGUGCCAUUAUAAAAAGUUAUGCAAAAUGAACUUUAANNNNNNNNNNNNNNNNNNNNNNNNNNNNNNNNNNNNNNNNNNNNNNNNNNNNNNNNNNNNNNNNNNNNNNNNNNNNNNNNNNNNNNNNNNNNNNNNNNNNNNNNNNNNNNNNNNNNNNNNNNNNNNNNNNNNNNNNNNNNNNNNNNNNNNNNNNNNNNNNNNNNNNNNNNNNNNNNNNNNNNNNNNNNNNNNNNNNNNNNNNNNNNNNNNNNNNNNNNNNNNNNNNNNNNNNNNNNNNNNNNNNNNNNNNNNNNNNNNNNNNNNNNNNNNNNNNNNNNNNNNNNNNNNNNNNNNNNNNNNNNNNNNNNNNNNNNNNNNNNNNNNNNNNNNNNNNNNNNNNNNNNNNNNNNNNNNNNNNNNNNNNNNNNNNNNNNNNNNNNNNNNNNNNNNNNNNNNNNNNNNNNNNNNNNNNNNNNNNNNNNNNNNNNNNNNNNNNNNNNNNNNNNNNNNNNNNNNNNNNNNNNNNNNNNNNNNNNNNNNNNNNNNNNNNNNNNNNNNNNNNNNNNNNNNNNNNNNNNNNNNNNNNNNNNNNNNNNNNNNNNNNNNNNNNNNNNNNNNNNNNNNNNNNNNNNNNNNNNNNNNNNNNNNNNNNNNNNNNNNNNNNNNNNNNNNNNNNNNNNNNNNNNNNNNNNNNNNNNNNNNNNNNNNNNNNNNNNNNNNNNNNNNNNNNNNNNNNNNNNNNNNNNNNNNNNNNNNNNNNNNNNNNNNNNNNNNNNNNNNGACGGAGCCAGAGACCGACGACGGCGACGGAGACCGGCGACGGAGACCGGCGACGGAGACCGGCGACGAAGCCGGAGACCGGCGACGGAGGUCGACGCCGGGGACCGGUGGUCGGGUCGGGUCGGCGCCGAAGGCCGUGGACCGAGAUAGAGAGUCUAGUGAGAGAGAGAGUCUAGUGAGAGAGAGAGCCGUUAGAGAGAGAGCCGUUCCAUAAUGAUAUGUUAUAAAUCUUUAAAAUUUUAAAAUUAGAAUAUAAUAAUGGAAAAAGUAAUAUCUUACUUCUUUUCAUAACACUUUAAUAAUCCUUCGACAAUCCAUUCACAGUACUGUUCGAUUAGUCCGAUCGGCCCAUCUUCGGAUAUAAAAUAAUCAUUAAAUGGAUGCUUACGAGGAAAAUCAAUUGUUGCAGAUUUUUUGCCUUUACAACUGGAAUCAAAUUUAGUUGUAAAUGGUGACAUGAAUAUUUUAGUUCGCUUUCUGCUCCUUAGUGCAGGUGUUUUUAUGCCAUCCUGUUUACCCAAAUUGGCUUCAGGAAGAACUGAUGGUAAUCAACUAUCAUGGAUGUGACAUUUACUGUCAUUGAUUUCUUUGGGACUAAUAGACUUGUUUUGCAUGCCAACGACUGGUGUGAAAAUUCUAGCUAUAAUGUUAUUUAUCGCUUCCUGAAACACAUCAAUUGAAAUCUCAUUGGUAGACUCUAGAAAAGGUAAAAUUAAUAGAUAUGACUAUUAAAAUUAUAAAAUUAAUUUUCUGUAAGGGAACCAUAUGAUAUAUAAAGUGUAAUGUAUCGUUUAUAUUAUAUCUUUGUGUCCGAAUUUAAAAGAAAGAAUCCAUAUGAUUUAAGAAAACUGUUACGCAUCAUAAAAAGUAAGAAAGGUCUAAUACAUUUCAUACAACAUAAUACUUGGUGUAUACAAAAUAGCAAGUAAAUUAUAUAACAUGCAUAACCUUCUUUUACACAAAGAUAUUCCUAAUUAAUAACAUAUAUAAUUCACACCUCAAAUGUUAUUUGUACCUGCGGUUUAUUUUGAACUUCAACGUUGUCUGUUUGUAAGGAUGGAUCUGGAAGAUUUACUUUCUACUUGAGUUCAGCAGAAUUUAUUGGCAUUGCAACGUAUGGUGUGGAAAUGCCAACUAUGAUAUUAUCUAUCGAUUCCUGAAACACAUCAGACGAAAUCUCAAUACUGGACACUUGAAAAAAAAAUUGUUAGAUACAGCUACCAACAGUUAUAACAUUAAUUGGAUGAAAGAGAUUCCAUAUGAAAUAUAUAUUGUAAUGCAUUUUUUAAAUUAUUUUUGUGUCGUGAUUUAACAAAAAAAAAUUCAUGUAAUGAAAAAAAUUAGUAUGUAUCAUAAAUAAAUAUAAUAAGUCUGAUACAAUAUAUAAAGUCAGAGAACUUUGUUUAUAUAAUGUAUCAGAUAAAUUAUUUGUCAUGCAUAACCUCUUUUAGGAAAGGAUAUUCCUAAUUAACAUAUAAUCUACAACUGUGUGUCAUAUGUACCUACGGUUUAUUUCGAACUUCAAUAUUGUCCGUUUGUAAAAAUAGAUCAGGGAGAUUUUCUUUCUGUAAAAGCUCAACAGACUGUAUUGCAAUAACUGAUAAGAAAAUUUUAGCUAUGGUGUUAUCUAUGAAUUGCUGAAACGCAACAGACUUAAUAUCAGUGCUAGUCCCCUGGAAUAUGAAAAUGAUUAGAUACAACGGACCAAAGAUUUUAAAAUUAGUAAAAGAACCUGUAAGACUUAUAUAGCGUAAAAUGAUAACAUUUUUGAGAAACAUUUGAUAGAUAUAUCAAUCUUUUUGCAUUGAAUGUGUCAGUUGUACUAUAUAUCAUGCAAAAUCUAAUUAACAUAAUGAUUUUCUCCAUUAAUAACAUACACUUGAUAAGAUAAUUUUUUAUCAGUACCUUCUGUAUAUUUUGAACUUCAAUUGUCUCCCUCGGUAUAACUGGAUCAUUAAAAUUGAAUUCAGAUAAGACUCAACAAAAGUUUUUCAUCCAUCUUGUGAUCUCCAGUAGAUACAACAUUUCCAUCAUCAUUCUGGAACAUAAAAUUGCAUUACAUUAUAAAAAUAAUAUACGAUACACAUUUUUAACAUUUCUACUAGUUUACCUUGUCAGGUAUAUCCUUCGAUUGUUCUUUCGGAGUUUUCAAUUCAUCACCAUCUGUCUCAUUCUUUUUCACAUCUCUGUUAGAACCGACGAUGUCAAUAACAACCUAAAAAACAUAUAAUUUUUAAUAAGAUAAAUAUAUAUAAAAUUUACUAAAAUUUAAGGUGAUUAUAUUAAAAAAUACUAUUUGAGGAGCAUCAUGCUUCUCUUUCACAGCUGACAUCAUCUUUUCAUGUUGUUUUUUCAUUUCUUCAUGAUGUUUUUUCAUUAAUGCUUCAAUACGAUCAAAUCUUUUGUCAACCUGCAUAAGUUUAACAAAGUAAAUUAGAUAUGUCAAGAUAGUCAAUUUUAAAAAUAAAAAUUCAUGUUGCACUUACAUAUGUCUUGACAAAUGAUUCAAUUGCAUUCAUAUCAACUUUAAGCAAAACUUGCUCAUGAUUUGUUCCUCCAGACACACUAAUUUUCUGUGUAAACUCACGCAUAUGUGUGAUAGCUGGUGGUGUCUGUUCUGCUGGUGGUGUCGGUUCGUCGAAGUCCAUCAGAGAUGGUUCAUGUCGAGCUUCUUCAUUGAUUGGGCCAGCAAUUGAUUUUGAUAUGCCAGAAGGUGAUACACUAACUUCUUUAACAGAAGAGUGAGCUUUAAUCUUUUCUUGAUCUAUCAUCAAUUUUUUUUUCUCAACAUCUGUCUUUCUUUUUUUUUUAAGGCGGUGCCAAUGAUCUAUCAGACCUAGCCUUUAACUUAGUUACCAUUUCGAUCGGUGGUGGGGUAGUAAAAUCAUCAAAAUCGUUCGAAGGUAAUGAAUCAGCUGUCAAUAUUGUUUUAUGAUCAACUUUUUGCUAAUGUCUACAAGAUGUGGAUGGUAAAGUGAAUUGACAGAAUCUUUCAAAUUCAUACCAGCAUGAUUUGGCAAUUAAAGACAGUUCAGCUCAUCAACCGCAGAACUUAUGUUGGUAUAAAUAUACUAUAAUUAAGAUUAAAAAACAUAAUAACUUCAGUUUCAUGAAUAUAAGAGAAAUAAUGUAUCAAUAUUCUACAUAACAUCUAGUAAUAUAUCAUAAACUGUACAGUUACGUAUCAGAAUGUAUCAUACGAGUACUGUAAUGAAUCAUAUAACAGUGAAAAAAAUUAUUUUGAUGCAAGAAUUGAUAUAGAAGAUGUCUGAUCAACAAAUAUAUUACAGUAUGAAUGAGUUACAUGCUUCAACAUAUAUUUACUAGAAGAUAUAUAAUGGAAACAUAAAUUUUUUUUUAUGUAUGCAACAUAAAAUACAAAAGACUAUUGAAAAUAACUAGAAAUUACCUUGUUAAACAUUCCAUUCAUGAACUUUUCGAAUUUAGGCUUUGUUCAAACAACAAAUUCGUUACAUAUCCUCGAGAUACGGUUAACAAUACGGCAAGCAAUGUCUUUAUCUACUUCAGAACAACAUUCGUAGAUCCAGACGUUGAGAACAUGUGGCAUUCCUCCUAAACGAUAAAGCUAUUUUUCAAUGAAGAAGUCCUGUCUCAACGAGUUCAUCAACUUGUUGAAAGUAAUCUUUUCCCACGGAUAAUGUUCAUAUUGACCAUCCUCUACCAUCUUGAAUUCUAAAAAUCUAACAGUUACAUCAUCAGAUUCAGUUAACAAAUACGUAUGAAUGAAAAAUAAUAUGGCCAUCUGCAAUGCAUCCUGAAUAUUGUCAAAAAAUUUCAUCUUAUACCGUUCAAUCAUUUUUUUUCGAAGAUUUUUAUUUUGUCUCUGAAAAAUACUUUGUCAAUAACACAGAGCCAUCUGAAGUCGGAUACUCAAACUCCUCAAUGUUUGCGGUGUAAUUCAAACCACAAAUGAGAGCAAAUUCAAAUAUAAAAAAAUUCAGAACUGUUCCCUUGACAUAUACAUGGAAUUCACUUGGGUUAUCUUGUUUAAACUCAAGCAUCAACAAGCAUUUGAUUAUUUGACCUUGAACAUUUGAUUUGGGAAUAUCAACAAACACACCAAAAUAUGUCUCCUUAAAUAUAUUGAGCACUUUUUUACCCACAAAGUGCUCAACAUCGAUUGCAAAGUUACGGUUGCAUGGAAUACCAAACCUCAGUGGAUGAUGUGGAAUAGUUUUGAUCACACAGUGAUGUGUCAUAACGCACGCACUGAGCUUAUGUACAUUGUUAUGUAUCGGAUUAAAGAUUAGCUUUAACAAUUGUUACAUAUUGUAUUAUGAUACAUAACUUAACGUAUGUAUAUUAGACAUCACACAUUAACCUUAUGUACAUGGUUAUUUAUCAGAUUAAAGAUUAGCUUUAACAAUUAUUACAUAUUGUAUUAUGAUACAUAAUUAUAACGUAUGUAUCAGACAUCAUGAUAUAAUUCUUACUCAUGUAUCAUACUUAAAAUUUUUUUGAUGUAUCAUAAGGCAUGCACAGACAGUAUCCCCAUGAUUAUGUAACAGACUAAUGGUUAACAUUAACAUUUGUUAAAUUUUAUAUUAUGAUAAAUAACAAUAACUUGUUUUGGAAAAAUUCAUCUAUCAAAUACAUAAAUAACAUACCUUUGGUAAUGAGUCUCUUUUCACAACUUUCUUUCUUCUUCCCUUUAAAAUAGCAGUAGCAAGCUUCUUCCCUUUAGCACUAGCAACAUCCCGUAACUUCUUCAUGACUGUAGGAUCGUUCCGAUACUUAAAUCUAUUUUUACAAAAAUCAACGUCUUUAUAAUCGAAGUUAUCAGGAACAAACUCAGGUAUAUCAAUUUCAUUAAAAGUUGACUAAAAUUGAGUAAGCCCCAAACUAAAAGAGGGUCCUCACUCCAUUAAUGUUGUUAUAAUGUUUAAAGAACAUAAAAUUGAAAAUGCAUUUCUUCAAUUUCUAAACUAAUAAACAAAAUCAUCAAUUGGAAACAAACUAACCUACAAUUAAGUUUGAAUAAUUAAGUUAAUGGAGUAAUUGUAGUGGAGGAUAACGGUUGCUGCUUCAAGAUCAGAUUUUUGCAUAACCUUCGCCACUAUUACCGUGAUUUUAGGCUACAAAACAGUAGUUGGGUAUUGUGUUGAGCUGUAGGUGGUAAUGUAUCAGUUUAACCGCGUGUGUUUACUAUAAGAAGGGAUUAUUGUAAUAUGUUUAAUAGGAUGGUAUUUAAAGUAAUAAAGAAAAGUUAAGGUGUUGAGUUAUGUAAUUUUUUCUAUAAAUAAUAUACGUACAUACGACUUAUUUGUUUUCAUUAACUUCAGUAAUUAAAAAAAUCAUAAGUGUUCAGACGAAUUAUUAAUUAUUUUAACUUAUAAUAUUUUUAAAAUAUAUAAAUUUUAUUUUUUAAAAGAUGAAAUUUAAUUAUAUCCUAAUUCGCACCAAACUUUAGUUAGUUUAAGUUGUAAAUAGGUUAAGAUAAAAGGAGCAAUCACAUAUAAUUGAAUGCAUGAUCUGUUGUUUGUGUUUUCAGGAGGAAAAUGAUUAUCUUUUUUUGGGGGGUUUUCAUCCGGUAUUCUGUACCUAUAUUGGAGCUCGACUAAUUCGGAUUCGCACUGCGUAAGGCUCAUUCAGGGGAAACGCUCUCUACCAAAGAUUUUUUCAUACUCAGGACUCGAACACGAAACCUCUGGUUAAGGGGGGAGCAGCCUCAUCCAUUGCACCACAUCCUUUGGUGGUAAAUGAUGACCAUCUAUAUGUAUAAUGGACUAUAUUAUUAAUUUGUUCCUUUAAAUUUUUUCUAUCAGAUCAGAUAUAUCUCAUUUUCUAUGUUUUAUUAAAUUUUAGCCAUAUUAAAUAUUCUUAAUUAAAAAAUUUAAUUCGCCAUUGAAUUGAUAUAACUCACGCUUUAGUGUUUAUGGAAGUGGUGACUCCUGGAAGAAUUUCAUGCAGACAUAUAACAACCUUGGUAGACAGUCUUCGACGGUCCUUUUGUCUUUAAUUGACUUCCCUGUUUUUUUUAAUUAUUAUUAUAAUAAUAGUUAUAAUAAUAAUAAUAAUAAUAAUAAUAAUAAUAAUAAUAAUAAUAAUAAUAAUAAUAAUAAUAAUAAUAAUAAUAAUAAUAAUAAUAAUAAUAAUAAUAAUAAUAAUAAUAAUAAUAAUAAUAAUAAUAAUAAUAAUAAUAAUAAUAAUAAUAAUAAUAAUAAUAAUAAUAAUAAUAAUAAUAAUACAAAACAGAAAAAUAAAUAAUAAAUAAAUAAAUAAAAAGAAGAAACUAUUGUUUACAACAUAAUUUAAAUUCAUGGAAAAUAAAUUUUAACCACAAACAAAAAUACGAAGAAACAAGAUUUUUUUUAUUGAUAAACAAUUGUGGUUACAAAUCUGUUCCUCCCUUGAUUCUGCUCUCUUGAUUUUCUCCGUAAUUCGAGGACCAUUAGUGGCUUAUUCUCGAAUAUAGUAUGAUCUUUUUAUGAAUAUUCCAUAAUUUUUAUUGGACGGAGGGUUUAUCUUCUUGAUGUAUUUGAUUAUCAAACAGAGAGAGUUUUGAUUUUUAUGAAUAUCCCGUGAAUUUAUGGGAUACUGGAGAUGCCUCUUUAAAGGGAUAUUUGCCCCUUUUAUAUAGGCGUAAUUUAGGAUUUACUAGAUUUAGGUAAAGUAGCCCCCAAGAACUCUAACCAAAAUUAAACUCUUUUUGUAGAGUCACAAAAUUUCAAUGUCUACAAAUGCCCUCUACUUCGAGGCUUGUCGAAGUGUAGAUUUGAUGACGAAUCUUGAAGUACCAAUAGAGCUUCUAUCUUUAUGGGGUGGCUACAGAUUUACAGAUCUGAUUUAUGAGAGAAGAGAUGAAGGGCAGAUUUGGUCCCACUGGGUGUGCCAAUUUAUUUGCAACAUAAUUUAAAUUCAUGAAAAAUAAAUUUUAACCACAAACAAAAAUAUGAAGAAACAAGAAUUUUAUAUUGAUAAACGAUUGUGGUUACAAAUCUGUUCCUCCCCUGAUUCUUCUCUCUUGAUUUUCUCCGUAAUUCGAGGGUCUUUAGUGGCUUAUUCUCGAAUAUAGGAUGAUUUUUUUAUGAAUAUCCCAUGAUUUUUUGUGGGAUAUUGGAGAUCCCGAUCUUUUUACGAAUACCCAUCAGCUUAUGGGAUAUUCAAGAUGCCUGUUUCGGGAACAUGUUCCCCUUUAAAUAGGCGAGAUUUAGGGUAAAGUAGCCUUCUAAAACUCUAACAGAAUUUGAAUUCAUAUUGAAGAGUCCACAAAUUUUAAAUGUCUACAAAUGUCCCCUGCUUCAAGGCUUGUUGGAGUGUAGACGAUGAAACUCAAAGACGAGUCUUGAAGUAUCACUUCCAUCUUUACAAUGGAAGAUGGCUACAGAUUUGCAUAUUUGAUUUAUGAGAGAAGAGAUGAAGGGCAGAUUUGGUCCCACUGGGCGUGUCAAUUUGUUUCCAACAUAAUUUAAUUUAUGGAAAAUAAACUUUAACCACAAAUAAAAAUAUGAAAAAACAACAACUUUAUUGAUAAACGAUGGGGGUACAAAUCUGUUCCUCCCUUGAUUCUUCUUUCUUGAUUUUCUCCGUAAUUCGAGGGCCGUUAGUGGCUUAUUCUCGAAUAUAGGAUGAUCUUUUAUGAACAUCCCAUGAUUUUUAUUGGAUGGAAGGUUUGUCUUCUUGAUGUAUUUGAUUAUCAAACAGAGAGGGUUUUGAUCUUUAUGAAUAUCCCGUGAAUUUAUGGGAUACUCUGGGAUGCCUUUUUAAAGAAUAUUUGCCCCCUUUAUAUAUGCGUAAUUAGGAUUUACUAGAUUUAGGUAAAGUAACCCCAAAAACUCUAACCAAAAUUAAACUCUUUUUAUAGAGUCACAAAAUUUCAAUGUCUACAACAAUGUCAACUAGCAAUGAAAAUUAAUACAACUACUAUAUUUUUAAAAUUAGGAACGUUAGUUAAUUUAUUUGUCUUGAUUUGAAAUACGAGCUCCAAAAUUAACUAAUAUUAGUAAUUAGGUGACUUCCAACGUAGAACCUUUAUAUAUUUUGAAUUAAAGUUUAUAUAUUGAGAAACUACAUAAAAAGUACCAUACGUCACAAUAAUUAAUAUUUAAAAAAUAUUAAAAAAAAUAUCACCAAAGAAGAACAUUUUUUCCUAUAAAGAAGGCCAUUGCCCAUUGUAAUCUAAAUGGGUGAAAAUCAUUUAUACCCCCAACUUUGAUUAAAAAGUUAAACUCUCCCCUCAAUAUUAAAUAAUAAUCAUACUCUCCUCUUUAUUUCAUGCAAUGCCCAUUUUAUCCCUAUAAUUUUAAUCCUAUAUUUAUGUAAUAUCUUUUUAUAUUAUAUGUAAUGAAUAUUUUCUUUAACAUGGAUAUUUGUAGCAUUUUAUUUAAGUUUAUUAACUUUAUAAGUAAAUUAAUACUUUAUAUAAAUUUAUCACAAAAUUCAAUGUUAUUUUUUAAGAUCGUUAUUUUAGUAUUAUAUGCAUUAAAGAGUCGUUUGGUGUGAGGUAUAAUUAUAAUAAUUCAGAGAUAAAGUUUAUGAUUAUUUAUCCUGCGUUUAAUUAGAUGUAUUAGGUAGUCUCAAAAUUAUUUGUCGCACCAUUUAUACAACAGUGACGAGAUAAGUUAUCACACAUACAUGUUAGUACAACUUAUUUUUUAUAACUAAUCCCGAAAUAACUUGUUUCCAAAUAACUCACCCCUAGGUGUGUGUAUAUACAUGCAUGUGCAUAUAUUUUUAUUUUUUAUCACUCUCUUACUAAAUUUGUUUCAUAUUACUUAACUUUUUGUUGAUGUAACACAAUCCUUAAGAAAAUUUUACUUAGAGGUAUAUUUUGCUAAAUUAACCUUAUUAAUGAUAAUUUAAAACUUUAAAUUUAUCUAUACUGUUACUUUAUAUAGUUAUUUAACACUAAAGGGUAGAAAAAAAACAUAAUACAAUUCUCUUGACUUCACAAAUUGAGCAUAUAAAUUAAAACAUCUAUUUUUAGUAUGGGAAUCAAGUGAUAAGAAAGGAUAUUAUCUAUUGUCUAUAUCAGUAAAUAAGUUGUGAUUGUCAUUAAUAGAGUAUUACAUAUUUUAUAAUUUAUAUAAAUAAAUAUAAUAUUUAAAAUUUGACCUUAUUUUUAUUCAAGAAAAACAUCUAGUACCCCCGAAUUAUGACCAAAUUUACUACGAUACACGUCAACUUCACGGGGGUCCUAUUACCCCUUAAAUUAAAUUUUAGCCCAUUUUUGUCAAUCUUUUUAGCUAAUGUAAUACCUUUUGUCAAUCAUUUUAGAUGGCGUGAUACCUUUGAUGUGAGCUUCAUUUUAUGUAAUAAAGGUGCCACAUUAGCAUAAAAAAUAACAAAAGUACGCUAAAUUUGAGUUCAGGAGACCCCUGUGAAGUUGAAGUAUGUCGUAACAACUUUGACCAUAGUUCGGGGUGAUACUAGAGGCUUAUCGCUUUCAUUUAUUGUUUGUAUUUUUUAUAUUGAAAUAUGUUUAUAAAAUUAGUAUUACUUAUUAUUUUCACUUGUAAAAUAAAUAUUAUAGUUUUGGUUAUUAUUAAUAAAAUUAAUUUUAUUACCAUGUUAAUUUACUUCAUAAAGAUCAUCAUUAACUUAUAUACUUAAUUAGUAUUUCUUAAUUUUUUUCCUAGAAGAUAAUGUUUAUGUUUUUAUGAAAAUUUUGUUAUAUGAAUUUUUUUUAAAUGAAAAUAUGAUGAUUUUAAAGAUGUUAAAAAAAAAAUUGAUGAUAAAGAAUAAAAUAAAAAUUUUAAAAAGUCAACUAAGAUAAAGGAAGAAUAUGAUUAUUGUUGAUUUUUAAGAUAAAGUUGGGGAAGAAAAAUAAUUUUGACCGCAUCUAUAUUGUCCACUAAAUUCAUAUUCUUUGAACCUUGUUUUUUUGGAGAACGAAACAAGCUAAGUUUUGUAACUAAUUAAUACAGCUAGCGUUCUCACAAGUCACAUCCAGAUAUAUAAAAAGGGAAAAAGACACGUAAAGUGAGACGAUUGGGUUUACGUAUGAAAUUUUGCUUUUUGGUUGUAGGAAAUAAUUGAAUUAGUAAUUGUUUUUCUAUAUAUAUAUUUUUGCUAUUUUUUUAAGGAAUCAAUGUUGACCCAAAUAUAUGUUGUUCAUUCAUUCCACAUUGUCCCCCUGAAUUCAUGCAUACAUGUGCUUGCCUGAAUUUAUGCUUUAUCAAAAUAUGUGGUCUGAUCAAAUUCUUUUCAACAUUCAUUCUUAUAUUAAAAGAAAUAUAUCUCAUAAAUAGAGGUAAUUUAUUGUAUUAUAUUUGUAUUGAAUAUUUUUUAAAUAAAUGAUAAAUGAGUUAAAAUAACACUUAUUUUGAGAUGAUGGGAAUUAUGCUCAACAUGCUUUAGAUUUUUAUUAGACUAUAGCUUUAAGCUAGGUUGUUUUUGUACUCCCUCUACUAAUGAAUGCGUGUAAACGUGCACAAUUUCUUUUUUUUCUCAAAGUGUAAGUCAAAAGUAUCUAAUAUACUUAAUCUCGUGUUCAGAUGAUCAACUGAAAUAUAUCAUCAUUUAAAUAUUUUAAAAUAAAUCUAUUGAUAAAUUUAAGAAAUUAUUGAUGGAAUCGGAGCCAUUUUGAAUUGUUUUUUGACUUAAAAUUAAGUGUUUUUAAGUAUUUUUUUAUUUAUUCAAUAACAACAAUAAUAUAUUUAGUGUAUUUUCAUAAAAUGGGAUCUAAGAAGAAUAAAAUGUAUGCAAUUCAUACCACUACCUCAACUGCAAUAGAGAGGCUAUUUCCGAUAGACUACUGAUUUAUGAGAAAUUAAAAAUUGCAAUAAGUCAAUCCAAACAGACUUUCAACCUAAAUCAAAACUGAGGGAGAUACAUAAAAUAUAUUGAUUUUGCCAAAAGGUUUAAAUUAUUUUUUGUAGUAGAACAGAGGGCCAUGAGAAAAAAUAGUACUAAGAACUUGGUCACGACAUUUUCUUUUUUCCUAUUUUGGAAAGUACGGUGAGCUGGAGCUUGACUGACGCAGAUACAAGUAUUGUGAAAGUUAUCAACUAAUAUUAAAUGAUGAAGAAAGUAGCAUCAUAAAAUAGCAGACACAAUUUCUAUAUAUUUUUUUAUUUUAAUUUAUUUGUCCCAUUUUAAUUGAACAUGAAUUAUAAAGAUUUUAAAAGAUUUAUAAGUUUAGUAAAAUUUUCAACUUAUGAUAUGAAAAUGGUAUUUUCAACUGUGGCAAAAAAAUUAGAUUAUUUAUUUUUGUUGAUUUUAGCUUUGAUGAACAGAAUUACGUGAUGUCUAUUACUAGUAGAAGGUUGAAUAUAUCAUGUAAAAUAAGCGUAAGCUAAUUCAGAUAUCACGAUUAUUAAGAAUGAAAAAAGGAAUUUAUUUUUGAAACUCAUUAAACGAAACAAAUUGAAAGAAAGAUAUUUGUUCUUGCUCAAACCCGGAGUUAUUUUCAUUUCCUUAUUUGAAAUUCGAAAUUUGUCCAAUGGUAGGUUUGGUAAUUAUCCGGAACAUGAGGGAUAAUUGUUGGUAAUAAAUUAGGACAGACCAAUAAAUAGUUCAACGUUGUCUUCAUGAGAAGAAAAUGUUGCCUGUUAUGAUCCCGUUACAGUGGGCCAUUACAAUAACCAUGAAUUCGGGGAAUUAUAGCCUACACCUGAUGACCACCACAAUAACCUACUCAGCCAAUCAGAAGUCCAUAAAUUUAUUCCCAUAAUUUACACAAUAUAUUUAGGCCUUUCUAAACACACACUUUUAUAUAAAUAGUAGAAGGAUUUUCGUUUGUUGUUAAAUUAUUUAUGUUGAAUAUUUGGAAUGGAGCUAAUUAAUAUAAACAAAUAGCUAAUUUUCAUCACAUUUUAAUUAACUUAAGCCUUGAGACUUAUUAUUAUCGGAGUAUCUUAUAUCUUGAAUUUUGUGUUGUUUCUACAUACAAGUGUCAUAUAGUUAGUUCACAAAUUUAUGUUGAAGUCAUAAUGCAAUGACUGAAUACUAGCCCUUGUAUUUUAAAAAUAAGAAAACUGUAUAUAAUUGAGUUGGAUGAAUUUAGAUACUUAGUCUUUUUCAAUCUCAAAUUUAAUGUUCAUAAUAACCACUUUUUUAGGAUUUUUUUUUGUCAUUUUACUUAUUUAUCAUAUUUUAAUUAAUCAUCAAAUGUGAUAUAAAAUUAGGGGAUCUUUAAAAAAUAGCUACACUUUACUGUAAAAUACAUCUUUUAUACCCAUAUUUUACAUAAUUAUUAUUUAUAGCCACUGUAUUCAAUUUACGUCCGUUGUAUUCUGUUUUAUCAAUAGUCUAUAUUCAUAUAAAAUAUAAAUACAAUAUGUAUUUGUAUAAAAAUUUGAAUUGUAUUUAUUUGUAUCAAUAAAUACAAACAAGUAUUUGUAGAAAGAAAAUCAAUCAUUCCUUUCCAAUAAUUAAAAAAUACAAAUGACAGUUCACACAAAUAUUUGUAUGUAUAGUUCACAUUUAUAUUUAUUUUUUUAUAGUUUGCACUUGUAUUUGUAUGUUAUAGUUUCAAUUUGUAUUUAUAUUUUAUAGUUCACACUUUUAUUUGUGUUUAUUAGUUUGCACAAAUAAAAAGGAGAAAAAUAGAAAAGGAAAAAAUAAUAAAAAAAGAAGAAGAAAAAAAGAAGAAAAAAAUACAAAAAAGAAGGAGAGUAAUAGAUAAUAGAGAAAAAAUAAAAAAGAAGGAGAAAAAAUAAAAAGGAAAAAAAGAAAAAAAUGGAAAAAAAGAAAACGAAAAAGAAAAAAGAAAGAGAAAACAAAAAAAAAAAUAAAGAAAAAAACUGAAAAAUGAAUAAGGAAAAAAAGAAGAGAAUGAUAGAAAAUAGAAAAAGAGAGAAAAUAUAUGAGAGAGAUUAUGAAUUAUAACUAAGAAUAAUUAAUAGAUAAAAGAGGGUUAUAUUUGUUAAGUUAUAUAGUUAUUCCAUGAAGUCAUGUUAAGAUUUUAUUUUCAGAACUUUUCAUGUUAAUGGUUUCAAUUUGGGGUAUCACGAGACUGAAAAUUAUUACGUUAAUGGCCCCAAUCAAGAUUGAGAGACCAGAGGACUCAAAAUCCUCAUCUUAACGGUUUUGAGGACUGAGUGAUAAGGCUUAUUAGGAAAAAACACACACUAACAAAUGAAAUAUAUAAAUUAUGAAAAUAUGUGAUGUAUUGAAUAAGAUUAUUUUUUUCUUAACUAGAGGUUUUAUUUUUGAGAUUUGUGUAUAAAAAAUUUUGGUAGGAAAUGACUUUUUUAAAUAGGCUUUACAUGACACUAAGUUGAAUUAGACGAGUAUCAAAUAUUAGAUGAGAAACUUAAAAAAAAAAAAACAGAAAAAUAAUAUGUAUUUUAUAUGAGAAAAUAAUAACAAUAACAAAAUAAGGAAGCCUGAAAAAUCUUUAUUUGGUAAUAAAAUAUUUUAUUUACUAAAAAUAAGACCAAUUGUAAAGUUUGUAAAAUUAUCCCUUUCACACAGGAAAUAAAUCAGUCGUAGCUGUAGCCGCGUAUCAAGCGUGCUCAGACCGACCCCCUAUAUUUCCGUUAAUUACUUUUUAACCCCCCCCCCCAAAUUCCAUAUACUCUUUCUUCCCCACUGUCCCCUUUUGUAAGAAAAUCAAACCCCCAACACUAAAAACCAAAAUCUUCCAUACCCAAUUUCUUCAAAGUUCAAAUGCACUUACUUUUGCUAGUAUUAACCACACAGCAAAGUAGAUAAGGUAAAAAAAAAAAUACAAAAAUAUCAUAAAUUUUUUUCUUGAAAUUUUCAAACAAAAAAUACCAGAAAUGGUAACUCAUUUAUUCAGAUCUCUUAAUUUUUUUUCUAAAUUUUUUAUAUAUUCACAUUCUUUACCCCCUUUGUGUAUUUGGGUGGGUCUCAUUUUUUUUUUUUUUUUUUUUAUUUUCCUUUUCCUGCUACUUUAAUCUGCAAGAGCUUUAUUCAGGUUAAUUUGUUAUAAGUUAUAAAGUUUGAAUCUUUCUGAGCUGAUGUUGUCUUUUUUUUCUUUUUUUACAAAUUUUGAGGUUAGUAAGUAUUAAUUGCUUAUUUUUUGAUUUUUUUAAAAGGGGUGACAGAAGAAAGAGGGAGGAAAAAUGGGUAUUUGUUAGUUUGUCUUACGUAAUAGAGAUUUUUAUUUAUUUAAUUUAUAACCCUUUUGAUUUAAUUGGAGAAAGAAAGACUUAGUCUUGCUUGUUAAUAUUUUGAAAGGGACCCCAUGAAAGCUUUGUUACAGUUGUAAUUUCAAAUUUGUAGAGUGUAUAUGUUUGCAAGUAGUGUGUGUGUAUUUUUUAUUGGUAUUAUGUUUUGAAUGUUUCUUACACGCCUUUAGGAGGCCGAUUCUCCUGUAUUUUUUAAUAAUGUUUUUUCCAUAUCUAUGUUAAUUGUCUUAUAAGUAUUGGGGCUACUAGUGGGGGGUUAUAUAUCUAUCUAGUUGUGCAACAUUAGCAUGAUCUUGAUGUAUAUAGGGAAGAUUUGUAUGUGAAAAGUGGGAUCUUGAUGUGUUCUUGGACUUACAUUUUUUCCCACUUUGGUUCGGACCGUGCAUAGCGGGAGCUUUAGUUACCAAGUGUUUCUUGAGUUUGCAAUUUUUCCCCUUUGAUUUUUUUGCACCUUGGUGUCUGGGAGAGCUUUCUGUGCGUUACUGGAAAUGGUUUAGGAAAAUUUUGAUUUUUUGUUGUUGAGGUAUUUCAUCAAGAUUUAGGUGAUUUUUCUCUUCUGUGUCUACUUUGUUAUAUUUUGAAUUGUUUUGAUGCUUUCCACACAAAGUGACCAAGUGUUUUUGCUUAAAAAAGGUGUUGCUUUAACUGUUUUUAGUUGAUAAAAAGAGAGAACUGGCUUUGGAGAAAGAGAAAGUGGCCAACUGGUCAUGCUUUUGUUUGCUCAGCAUUAUUGACAUGCUGGGAAUCUCUAAAAGAUUUUCAUUUUCUAGUUGCAAAAAGACGUCAAAAUAUUUCAAAUCCAGAUAUAUUGUUUGCACUAUCUUUUUUUAAUUUUGGUCUGUGAACUUAGUGUUAACUAAUUCUCUGGUUGCUUCUUUGCCCUUAUGCAGUUUCAGGUUUUGUUGGUCAGUAAGUAAUCUUUUAGCACAAAUUUUAGCAGCAUGACUUCAAGAUCCUUCAAAGCUUCUGAUUCCCAGCAGGGUAAGCCUCCUGGUGUUACUUUUGCAAGGAGGACCUCAUCGGGUCGGUAUGUGAACUUAUCAAGGGAAUCACUGGAUAGUGAGAUUAGUGGCAUUGAAUUUGCAAACUACACAGUGCAUAUCCCUCCGACCCCUGAUAAUCAACCUAUGGAUCCUUCAAUUUCUCAGAGGGUUGAAGAGCAGUAUGUGUCAAAUUCGUUGUUUACCGGUGGUUAUAACAGUGUGACUCGUGCUCACUUGAUGGACAAGGUAAUUGAAUCCGAAACUAACCAUCCUCAGAUGGCUGGUGCCAAAGGUUCUUCUUGUGCUAUACCGGGCUGUGAUGGGAAAGUCAUGAGUGAUGAAAGGGGUGAAGAUAUUCUUCCUUGUGAGUGUGAUUUUAAAAUCUGCCGGGAUUGUUACAUUGAUGCUGUCAAAACUGGUGAUGGGAUAUGUCCUGGUUGUAAAGAGCCUUACAAGAACACUGAUUUGGCUGAGAAUGCUGUGGAUCCUUCUGGACGUCCUCUGACUUUACCUUCAAACGUUAGCAUGUCUAAAAUGGAAAGGAGGUUGUCGUUGUUGCGAUCAGGUAAUAAGUCGGCGAUAAUAAGAAGCCACUCAGGGUUGAUGAGGAGUCAGACAGGGGAUUUUGAUCAUAAUAAAUGGUUAUUUGAGACAAAAGGGACGUAUGGCUAUGGAAAUGCUAUAUGGCCAAAGGAUGAGGGGUUUGGAAAUGACAACGAAGAUAAUGUUGGUGAGCCUUCUGAACUUCUGAACAAGCCUUGGAGGCCGCUUACACGUAAACUGAAGAUACCCGCUGCAGUUAUUAGCCCAUACCGGUAAUUUUUCGUCUCUAACAGUUUCUAUUGCCAUCUUUCCUCUCUACUUCUUUGAAUUCAAGAACAGAAUUUGGUGAAAUUACUCGUAUCCAAGUGGCUAACGAAUUUAGGGAUUAGUUUUAACAUGAAUGCUUCCUUCUAAUCAAAGAAAGAUGCUAAAGUGAUAAUCAUAGUUUCUUUACUUUAAGUUCCUGUUAUAUGUUGAUCCUCUAAAAAAGUAUGUUAGACUUCAUCUUUUUAUCUUGCAAGACUAUAUUGCAAACAUAGCUUCUCGAGUGUACCAUAUUUAAGAGAACAGUUAAAUCUAGCUCUUUUGGUGGAUACCAUUAGAUAAUCCUGUGCUUUAGACAUUGAUUGGUUGCUUAAUGCCUGCUGANNNNNNNNNNNNNNNNNNNNNNNNNNNNNNNNNNNNNNNNNNNNNNNNGCUGAACAUAAUUGGUACUAUGUUUUAUUAUAGAUGGUUUUAGAGCUGUUCUGACACAACUCCAUGUAUACAGGCUCUUGAUUCUUAUUCGUGUUGUUGUUCUUGGACUAUUUCUUCAUUGGAGGAUUACCAAUCCGAACGAGGAUGCUAUAUGGUUAUGGUAUAUGUCCAUAAUCUGUGAGGUUUGGUUUGCAAUCUCUUGGCUGCUUGACCAGCUUCCAAAGUUAUGCCCCGUAAACCGUGCUACCGAUCUCAAUGUUUUAAAAGAAAAAUUUGAAACACCAACUCCUACCAAUCCCACAGGAAAAUCUGAUCUCCCAGGUAUAGACAUAUUUGUCUCUACUGCAGAUCCUGAGAAAGAGCCACCUCUAGUCACUGCAAACACGAUACUGUCAAUCCUUGCUGCUGAUUACCCCGUCGAAAAGCUCUCGUGCUAUAUUUCUGAUGAUGGAGGUGCUCUUCUGACGUUUGAAGCAAUGGCCGAAGCUUCAAGUUUUGCCAAUGUUUGGGUCCCAUUUUGUCGUAAACAUGAUAUUGAACCAAGGAACCCAGAAACCUACUUCAGCUUGAAGAGAGACCCUUACAAGAACAAAGUACGUCAAGAUUUUGUGAAGGACCGCAGACGGGUGAAGCGUGAAUAUGAUGAAUUUAAGGUUCGAAUCAAUAGCCUCCCCGAUUCAAUUCGUCGGCGUUCUGAUGCCUAUAAUGCCCGUGAAGAAAUCAAGGCUAUGAAGCGUCAGCGAGAGGCAGCUGGGGAUGAGCUUUUGGAACCCAUCAAGAUAACUAAGGCCACUUGGAUGGCUGAUGGAACCCACUGGCCUGGUACUUGGAUAGCAUCUGCUCCUGAGCACUCUAGGGGUGAUCAUGCAGGAAUCAUACAGGUAUUGAUCCUACAUAUUAAUACCGUCUAGUUAUAUGUUGCUUCCAUCUUUAUUUAUUGAUCAGGGCAUAAUUGCGUAUUGCAUUAAUUAUGCGUAUGAUCUCAUGCUGAACCCACUCCAUUUUGUUCCUCCUCCAAGUAUUAGGAAAAAGAGGAAAGAAAUUUAUUUUCUUCUCCCUGAUUAUUAUUGACUCUGUCUUCAGGGGUUUCUCAUUUUGCCAACUGUACGUUUAUUUUGCUAUUUUUAUACUCUUCUCAGCUGGCAAUAACUUGCAUGUUAAAUUCUUGAAGUAAUAGAUUUGGUUUGACAUUGUUAGCUGUUUUUCUUGUUUUUUUACAGGUUAUGUUAAAACCCCCAAGUGAUGAACCAUUACAUGGAACCGCUGCCGAUGACGGUCUAAUUGAUUCAACAGAAGUUGAUAUUCGUCUCCCCUUGCUGGUGUAUGUCUCUCGUGAGAAGCGUCCUGGCUAUGAUCAUAACAAAAAGGCUGGAGCCAUGAAUGCCUUGGUCCGAGCUUCUGCCAUCAUGUCUAAUGGCCCCUUCAUUCUCAACCUUGAUUGUGAUCACUACAUCUACAACUCACAGGCAAUCAGGGAGGGAAUGUGCUUUAUGAUGGACCGGGGUGGGGAUAGAAUCUGUUACGUUCAGUUUCCUCAACGUUUUGAGGGAAUUGAUCCUUCCGACCGUUAUGCAAAUCACAAUACUGUUUUCUUUGAUGUCAACAUGCGUGCCCUUGAUGGCCUUCAAGGUCCAAUGUAUGUGGGGACUGGUUGUCUCUUCCGCAGGACUGCUCUUUAUGGUUUUGACCCACCACGAACCAAGGAAUACCACCCUGGUUGCUGCAGCUGUUGCUUUGGUCGGCGCAAGAACAAUGCCACUGUGUCUUCUGUCUCUGAUGACAACAGGGCGCUUAGAAUGGCGGAUUUUGAUGAUGAGGAGAUGAAUCUUUCUUCCUUUCCUAAAAGGUUUGGUAACUCAAGUUUUCUGAUUGAUUCAAUUCCAGUCGCAGAAUUCCAAGGUAGACCACUUGCUGAUCACCCUGCAGUAAAGAACGGACGACCACCUGGUGCUCUAACUAUUCCAAGGGAACUUCUUGAUGCCUCCACUGUUGCUGAAGCGAUCAGUGUCAUUUCUUGCUGGUAUGAGGACAAAACUGAAUGGGGUAAUAGAGUUGGAUGGAUUUAUGGUUCUGUAACUGAAGAUGUGGUGACGGGGUAUAGGAUGCAUAAUAGGGGUUGGAGAUCUAUUUACUGUGUGACAAAGAGAGAUGCAUUCCGUGGCACUGCACCAAUCAAUCUGACUGACAGGCUUCAUCAAGUGCUUCGAUGGGCCACUGGUUCUGUUGAAAUCUUCUUCUCUCGCAACAAUGCUUUUUUGGCUAGUCCUAGAAUGAAAUUUUUGCAGCGGAUUGCCUACCUCAAUUGCGGCAUCUACCCCUUCACCUCGGUAUUCCUAAUUGUUUAUUGCUUCCUCCCAGCACUUUCGCUCUUCUCUGGUCAGUUCAUCGUCCAGUCCUUGAACGUCACCUUCCUCACAUAUCUCCUCGCGAUCACAUUGACUCUCUGCGCCCUGGCUGUGCUCGAGAUCAAGUGGUCCGGCAUUGCUUUAGAAGAGUGGUGGCGUAAUGAGCAAUUUUGGUUAAUUGGAGGCACAAGUGCCCAUCUCGCUGCUGUGCUUCAGGGGCUACUAAAAGUGAUUGCUGGCAUUGAGAUUUCAUUUACACUUACAUCAAAAUCUGCCGCUGAUGAUGAUGAUGAAUUUGCUGACCUUUAUAUUAUCAAAUGGACUUCCCUGAUGAUCCCACCUAUUGUAAUCAUGAUGACUAACUUGAUCGCGAUAGCGGUUGGUGUAAGCCGGACAAUAUAUAGUACGCUACCACAAUGGAGCCGUUUGCUAGGAGGGGUUUUCUUCAGUUUUUGGGUCCUGACUCAUCUCUAUCCUUUCGCAAAAGGAUUGAUGGGAAGGCGUGGAAGGACACCAACAAUUGUAUUUGUCUGGUCUGGACUUAUUGCCAUCACCAUUUCGCUCCUCUGGGUCGCAAUCAAUCCCCCUGCCGGUGCCACUGAAAUUGGAGGGUCAUUCCAAUUCCCUUGAUUUUUCCUGACAGCCCUAGGCCAAAUUAGUUCCUGCACAUUCCAUUCAGAUUAUUCUUUAGUUUCUACUUAUUUUUCUUCCUAUUCUGUAACAAAAUGUGGACCCAAAGACCUUCAAUGUUAUGUGGAUUUUGCCAUCACUAUUGUCCUUGAAUUUUUGUUUUAUGUUCAAUGUUCAUAGAGAAGGAAGGGCAAAAUAUACGCUACAUUGUCUGUAAGCAAAGCCUCAAAAUAUAGAUAUAUAGUAAAGUUAAAUUCUUUUUUUGAUAAUGCUUUAGCACCAUUCUUGUUUCUUUGAAGUUUUAGCUUUUCUGGCAAUUCACACAAAUUUACUCUAGACUGGAGCCUUGUAGUUCGCUCUUUCCACCAAACCUGCCCUGGGAUCUUUAGUGCACUAGGCGGUCUGUACUCUUUUUUGUUUGAUUUGUUUUUAGGACUCGUUUGGUACGCUGUAUUAAAUAAAAUAAUUUAUGAAUUAAAAUUUAGUCCAACCAUGUAUAAUGUUUGGUUGCCCAAUUUAAAUCUAAUCCCACUUGAUACAUGGAUAGCUAAUACACCAUAGAGUGUAUUAGCUUAUGCCUAAGAAACCAUGGGAUUACUUAUCCAUGACUUAAUAAUACAUGGAUAAAAGAAUUAAAUCACUCAACCAUCCCUCAAUUCUUUUAUUAAAUUUUUCUUUUAGUUCCAUUUAAAAUUUAAUCACUACAAAUUUGAUUGUUAUGUUACAUUUAAUUUGCCAACCUCUUUUUACUUUGCGUAUGCAAAUCAAGUGCUUAAAUAUCAUUUACUCCCUUAUGUUGGUUGAUAGCUUCGAAUGUGAACUACAUUUAUGUUAUUUUGUAUUUGUUCAAUUUACGGACGGGUUAAUUUAAAUAGAAAAGAUUAUUGUCAAAUAAAUAUAUAGUUUGAAAAUCUAAAACUACAUUAUCAACAGUUCGUGAUGUUCUUACAUAGUGUGCUUCUUCACAUUUUUAGAAAAUUAUUUCUCUUUAAUAUGAUAAUUAUUUAUUGCUUUAAAUUUUUCUUGAUUAAAUAGACUCAAUUUUUUUUUUAAAAGAAAUAAAUGAUCAACUAAGCGGAGUGAGAAUUAGUAUUCAUAUUUUAGCUUUUCUAUAAGAUCCAAAAAGGGUGAGCAACUUGACUAGUUAAAUGAAGUAGAAAAUCUCAUAAAAAUUUAAGGGUAUAAUUGUAAAGAAGAUUUUGUAAAGUUUUAAAAUACAUGAUAUAUUUACUUUUUUAUACAAUGAACCAAAUACUUGAUAAAAAAUAAUUCCUAUAUUACUAAUCCCUGCAUUGCUAUUGUUUAUCCAUGGAUAACUUGUCUUUGUUAGAACAAGUGUAGUUGUUUGUGCUUGUGCUUACAUAAGAAAUGUCAUAUUUUGUCCUUGAUAAUGCGUCUUAAUGUCAAUUUCUUAAGUCAUCUGUGGAUUAUUACCAAAUUCAUUAAGUCAAUAUUUCUUUUAUUUUCUAACCAACUCCAUGACUUCUCCAAAUCAGAUCAAUAAAGUGGAGUGCCUCAUGCACUUUGAGGAAUCUGAAGGUAUAUCCUCCUAAUUAUAUUCAUUCAGUUAGUAUAACAAUGAAAAUUAGCAAAUCAUCUUAAGCUUGGUGCAAAUAGGGCAGGGCAAGGUCCAAAGCAGCGAAAGGUAGUAGCACGUAUCUGGUAGAAUAGUUAAGAUGUGUGGAUCCUGACACCACCUAUAUCGGAGCCAUCCUUGUUCAAAGGAUGUCAUUCGCUAGGAAAAGUACAAUAUAGCUAAGUAAAAGUUAAAACCAUUUAACUCUAUAUACUAUUCUAUAUGUUGAAUUUUCUUUUGCUUACUUCUUUAUAUUUUGAUCUCCUUGAUGGAAGUCCCGAAUCUGCUUCUAGACAAUACCAUUAGUCCCAAAAUAAAAAAGAAGAGGUAGAACGCGUUAAAUCUUUUCCAAGUGUGUCUUUCACCUCUUCCAAUGGAUGAAGUAGGUUUAAGUAGUUGAACAAAAUAGCUACUAGUCAGCUCUGGACUACCUAAGUUAAUUAUAUUUACCUAUGGACAUAGUUUCUGAACCAAAUCCAUUCUCAAAAGUUGAAAGAAUAAUUCACCAAACUUUGGUUGAAAGAGUAAAACUUGGAGUAGCCAACAUAUUUGUUUUGGUCAGAAUAUAAACAAGUUACUGAAUUAAUCAGGUUUUAAUUUAAUUUGUUAGUUGCUAAUAAUUGUUCAUAUAAAGACACAGUCCACUAGCUAAAGUACAGAACAUCUUCAACACAGGGUGUGGAAGUUCGAAGCUUUGACAAGUGAAAUUCAAGCACAUGAUGCCAGAGUUUGAAAUAUUCAUGAAGUCUUAAAUGUGGAUGUCAAACCCUUGGAAAAAAAAAAAAAUCAAUGCGAAGUUGUAUUGUCAAUGAAUACUUAUCCAGCACAUGGAAUGGACUCGAUCUAAAAUUAUGGCCGAGUGUCAAAAUGCUAUUCAUACCAUCAGUCUCGAAAUCAGAAAUCUCGUUAAUGAUAUUUAACAUUUAUUAUAAGAAAACAUUUUGUCUAUGUACAUAAGUGUAAUUCUUCGACAAAGGAAUCCAUUGACAUACAUGGUUUCUCCCUUCAUAUAGCCCCUCAUACUAGGUACACAAGUGUAAUUCUUUGGCAAAGGAAUCCAUAAAAUGAUAUGUAUAUGCUCCUUACACUAUUUAUCAUAGUUCGGAAGUAUAUUUGUCCCUUUUUUGAUUCCAAAAAAAUUGAUGGUCUUACAUCUAUCAUAGGUUCUUCCAUAACUUCUUUUUUUCGAUUAUUGUCAGUAGAUAAUUACCAUAUAACGAGAACAAAAAAAGGGGUCACUUAGAUGAAUAUGUAGUGCCAAUAUACCUAGUGAAAAAACCAAGAAAACCACUACUCUUAAAAUUAAUGGAUAUGGUUUUUACUCCAAUCAACCACCACAUUGAUAUUUAUACCUCUCAUGUGUGUAUAUAUACUAAUCUCUUUGGUACCACCUAUAGGAUUUCUUUUUUACAACCCAUGAUAUUCACACUGUAUACCUUAAAUAUACAAAUUCAUUACAUUGCAGCAGCAGAACCACGUUGGCUAGACUUUGAUGAACCACCAUCAGCCACCUUAUUCCGCCGCCUAGAGCUCCGUCUGGAGCGGUUUUUACGGGGGCUAUGGCUCCCACCAAACUUCAUCCUCUGUCUAAGCCUUCCACUAUCCUUAAACAAAUCCCUUUCAGACUGAACAAUCACACAUUCUGGUGGCGGCACGGGGUACCUAAUGUUAUCAUAACAAUAUGAAUAGUACAUGUAUUUUUCUCUAAAAUGUUUCAUCGAUUUUCGCCUUUCGGUUGUGAUGUUAGAGUAAUCUUUAGCAAGUAAUUUGGCAAUCCUGUCAGUGCAAUUUGUUGAUGAAAUUUGCUCAAUUGGAUCAACUAUGCAACCUUCAAGAACUAAGUCUUUUAGCUCAGUUGCAAAAGGUUCAUAUUUAUAGUUCACUUUAGCUUUGCCACCAUUUGUAGCCCAAGAUGAUGCAUCCCAAAUUGUGGCAUAUAAAGACAUUGGCUUUGAUGGAAAGUCACCUCUCAUUGUUGGAUUUCGAUUUACUUCCCUAAUUGGUGUUUCAUCAACGUAAAAUCUGUAUAGCAAAGGAAUAAAAACAACGGGUUAGUAAAAGGACACAAAUGAGUCCUAUGUUGCUCAAAUUCUUCAAAAAUGUUGUCAGUUGCAUGUUGGAUUCUUCAUUUUUUGAGGAUCUGACCCACAUAGACUAUAGGUAGCUGCUUGUAACAAGUAACUAGUUAAUUGAAAAAUAUAACUAUUCGAGUUGAGCUAUAAGGAAAGGCCCAAUUAGACCAACGAUCCAAUAGGCUAUUGAGCUUCAGUUCAAUCAGCAAUAAGUUGCAACCGGUAAAAUUACACUUGUAAGUGUAAAAAAUCUUCGCAUUAUCAAUAUAUGCAAGUGUAAUCCUCUGAUAAUCACGAAAAUUCAAUCCUAUAAUACUUAUGCCCCAGGAUAACAGUAAAAGCACAUCACGAGAAGAUUUUUCGUAUGAUCAUUUUAUCCUAUCAAAUAGUAAGUAGACAUAAGAGAUCAUUUCCUCGUAACAAGCCAAGAAGACAUUGCUAUUUCCUACUUAUGUAGUCUUUUAUUUACUGUAUUCUUAAGUUCAUUAUUCAUUUUAUACAGUAUAAACAAAGGUUUCUUCACAGUACAUGUUAGAAAAAGCUCGAUGGUAAAUAUUGUGGCAAUUAAACUAAAAACUUUGUUAAUAAGAAUCAAAAAGGCAGUCCGGUAUACAAAGCAUCCCAUGUUCACGCAGGAUAUGGUGAAGGGCCGCACCCCAUGGGUGUGACAUAGACAACCUAUCUUAAUGCAAAUAUUAGUGAUUGCUUCUAUGACUCAAAACACAUGAUCUAUAAAUCACACCAAGGCAACUUUUUUUAAUGAUCCAAAUACUAGAUAGUAGUAUUAAAUUAGAGUAAUAAGUCCAAAGUCACGAUUACUGACUUUUUAAAGAAGUAUAGACAAACUCUUUUUAAGUGUGAACGUAUACAAUUAGUGCAAAUGUCAAUUGGAAAACAGCAAAUCACGCCAGUUUUCCAGCUCUAAAGAAUUUUGUAGAAAAGGAAGAAGUAAUAUAGUUGCAUUAAUUACCAUAAAUCGUGCAAUUAGAACUUUAUACCCUUUAAAAGUUAGUCACUCUCAUUAGUUAAUUAAUGAGCUAAUCAACAUUUUCCUGCACUUAAUUAUUUGCACAAUGACACUCCCAUGACAACUUUGGCAUGUUACCAUUCAUCUCUUUCAACACUGAGGUCCCCUGCUAAAGGUAAAUACUUAUUUGUACCGAGUAUUUUUAUUCAUAUAUAAUUAAACGAUUAACUUUAAGAAUUAACAAUUUAAAGUGAAAAUGCAUAUCGUUUAACCAUAAUUUAAUAUAAAAAAGAGUUUAUGUAAGACACAUGCUUACAUCUAUUGAGUUAGUAUAUAAAUUACCCGACUAAAACCCCUCCCCCCCUCCAAAAAAAAAAAAAAGAUCUAUGAAAAGAAAACCCAACAACAAUAACAUACGAGUAUAAUCUUACAAAGUAUGGUCUGAAGAGGGUAGGGUGUACACAAACCUAUCACUACCUCAAAGGUGAACUAUAUAGGCUGCCUUUUGUAGACCCUCGGUUUAAGACAAAAGAAGUCCAGAAAAUGACGUAACGAAAGUACAAAACAAUAUACAGUAACGAAACAUCAAAUAUAAAUUAUUAACUAAAUUAAGCUCCAAAAAAAACAUGAUUAAAUAAAUCCAAAAUAGAGAAGCUAACCAUUAUCUUAUUCAACAACAAAAGCAAUAGGUAACCAAAUAAUUGGAGUGAACUUUUCCAAAACGAAUGGAAACCUUUUCUUUCCUCGUAAUUUCUCUCUCCGCGUUUGGCCAAAAAGUAGGCACAGUUAUACUAUUUACAACAAUUUUCUUGCUGGAUAAAGAUUCCUCAAUUUUUAAUUAAAGGUUUCGAAAAUAGAGAAACUUCUGACAAGAUACGCUAGGCAAAUCUAAAAUUAGUUGGUCGGAGAGUUCACAAUACCAAAUACUAGAUUUUUUAAAAAAAACGUGUGCACUCCAGUGCACUAAAGUUUUGCUAUGCAUGAGGUUUGAAAAAAACUGGGUCCACAAGAAAAUAUUAUAUGCGGUCUUAUUUUGCAUUUCUACAAAGAGACUACUUAGAAUCUAAUUCUGGAUUCUAUAAUUUUCAAUCGUAUACAAUAAAAGUAUUGAAACUGAUAAUAAACUAAAGAGGGAACGAUCAAUAUAAUUAGAGAAAAAAGAUCAAUAAAUUGUAAGGAGCUUACAUGAUGUUUUUGGGGGUCCAAAGAAUGCUAUACUGAUGAAAUUCCUUGCUUGGAUCAAACCACAUUCUAUACCUCUCUUCUCUGCCACGACUAACACUUCCAUUUCCAUACAAGUUAGUCUGAAACCUCCAUGGCUGCCCAUUCACAUUCCCCAAAAACUCAAUAUCUAACUCGUCAUGAUUCUUCUCAAAUGUGUCCACAUUUGAAGUCUACAUAUCAAAUAUAUUGCAUAAAUAAGUAUUCUUAAGUUUGAAUCAUUAAAUGAAAAAUACAACAUCUUGCAACAAACAAAACAAAAAAGAAAUUUGGUGCACUAAGCUACCGCUAUGACAGUAUUCAAGAAAGGUUAUCCGUAUUUUUUUUUCAUGUGUGAAUUACAUAGGCAGAUCGAAUAUUUAAGCUUUUAUGUGUUCAACCUUUGAGGUUCUUAGCAUUAAAUUCAUUACUAUAUUUUAAAGAUUAUGGGUUGUCUACUAUUUUUUGGAAUUAUAAUGGACUUUUACCCAUAAAUUUAUGUUCCACGUUGAAAAUACGGAAUUUAAAUGAAUAUGAUUAAGUAAAGUUGCAUUUGCCUCUGGGUCUGGCAAAGAGAAAGCAAUGGGUGCACGAAGUAUUCUGCAUUCACCACUACUACCCAAAUGCAAAUAUCAGUGUUUAAUUAUACACUAUGCAUCACUUAUUAUAAACUCAUAUGAACAAUAUAACAGUACAACAUGAUGCAAUAUAAUUAUAAUCAAACAACAUGCAUUUUCAUAUAACACUCCAGUCUCUCCCCAUGCAAAUUACACGUCUGCUUCUUCCUUCUUCAAAACAUAAUCUUGUGGAUUUCAGAACAUCUACAUGGAUAUAUUAUUAUGACUAAAAUAGGUAGUCAAAAUCAGUGCUCUUAAACAAAUAGUUUAUCUCAAAUAAUAAUUUAUGCAUAUAAAUCCAUAUAUCCAUAUUAAUAAAUUCUUAUAUACUUACAUAAAAAGCAACAACAAUGCCAGCAGUAUAUAUGGCCGGCAACUUAAUACUAGCACUAAAAAAUCCAUAAUUGUAAUAUUCUGUUGAUAUUACACCUGACCCUGCAAAACAUAAAACAAAUAUUCACAUAUAAAUAACACAUAAUUAAAACACAAUAAUAAAAAAAAAUGAAUUAAUUUACCUGAGAAACGAUUAAGUAGGAGACGAAAACUUCGAUCAUCAGGAGAUUUUUCAAUAUUGAAAUCACUAAAAAGAGGAGAAUAGCCUUGUUUGAAUGUUAUCGUCGAUAGAUUAAAAGCCUUGCUAGUCGUCGUCGCCGCCGUCGAAGCCACUGGAAAAAUGUAUAAUAAUAAAAGGAGGGAGAAAGGUAUUAUUGAUUUUGAUAGAGAUAAUAGAACUCGAUAAUCCAUGUCUAUAUAUAUAUAUAUUUUUUUUUUUUUUCUGGUUUUGUAAUUCUAUAUAGAAUAUUUUUUUUUUUGUAUUUUUUUGUUUAUAUGUUUAUAUAGGGUUAUUGCUCUCUUCUCCCUCCCUUAGUUAUAUAUAGUUGUCUUCUCUUCUUCUCUCUUGUCAUUUUUGGAUUUGAUCAUAAAGAUGGUAACAAAAUGUGCAGCCAUGAAGAGAGAUUUGGCAGGUUUCGGUUUUGAAGGGUUGGAAUUACAUAAUAGUCCUUGUGGUUGGAGGUUAUUCACAAUAUUGUCACGCGAUUCUUUUUAUUUUUUAUUGUUAUGAAAAGAAAAUUAAGAAUUUGCGGAAAAAAAAAAAAAAAAAAAUAAAGGGGCGUCAAGGGAAGUUAUGCAUAAAAAUGAAUAUAUUUUGUGGGUAAAAUGAGGAUCUCUUAUAAAAAUGACAUUACUAAAAAUAAAUUAUGAAACCAAUUAAUAAAAGAUCCUGCAAGUUUGGGUUUUAAUAUUAGUCAGAGUUAUAUUUAUGUCCGUUAUAUAAGAUAGUUAGGUUAUUAAUUUAAGAUAAUAGAUAACUCAUCCAUAUGUGUAUAUCAAAUCUAAUCUGGACUUGAAAUAUAAAGUGUAAUCUCAUACUACUACAUAAGAAGUUAAAUUGUAUUGAUAUUUGCUAUUUUCUUUUAUUUGCUUAGCAUAUAUGACUUAAAUUCGAACUCUGGCAUGUGUAGCUAGGUGAUGUAUAUAGCUUUCCUAAUGGGAAAGGCCAAAAUUCAUGGUGCCCCUAAACUUGGUACGAACUUUUACUUAGGCACUUUAAGUGGAUGUUGUUCACUUUUGGUAUCUCAAGUAGCUAUAAAGUGUGUCACUUUGACACCUUUUGCUGAUUCAGCACAUUGUGUGUGUUGCACUACACUAAAAGCGCGUGACAAGCUCUAUUUUAUAAUUUCUGUAUUUUUUUUUUACCUUCUUCCUCUUUCUUCUUCCACCAACUCAACCUUCCACCACCAUUAACAACUAUUGCAAAACUUCCAACAUCAGCUUUAAACCUUCUUCUCCGUCCAUUCUUCACCUUCCAACAUCAUCACCAUCAUCCACCAAACUACCACCAAAUUUUUGAAUUAAAAAACAUCGAAGAAAAAAAUCACAUACAUAAUUUUAAAAAUUAAAAAUCACAUCUCCAUGAUUGUUGUAAAAAAUUUAAAAUAGUGUAACCAAAUUUUUCGCACAACCACCAUUAAUUUUGUUAUUCACCUCCACAAUUUUUGCACCACAAUUGAAUACAAUAUCACCAUCAAACUUACCUUCACUCAAUUUUCAUUAAUUGAGUCUAUUCUUAAAUGUGAUCCAACUAAAAUAUAUCAGAGUAUAUCUGCACGAAACCAUACCAAAGCAACUAGACAGAAAUUGAAGCCAAAUGGGUUCCUUCUUAAAAUUAUUUUUUUGACCAAUUUAUUUUUGUUGAGAUGAAAUUGUUGUCAAUUAAUCGAAAAUUGUUGUCAACUUGGACGGAGAGUGAAAAAUUAUUGUCAAAUAUUGUCAAGUUGUUGUGAAUUUGAUGUCAAUUUGGUCGGAAUGUUGUAGUGGUUAGAGGCGGGGAUUUGUGGAUUGAAGAAGACAAUAUAGAGGGGAUGGGUGGGUGGCGGUAGGGGAGGGUGGGGUGGCGGCAAAUGAUUUUGGGGUAGGGUGGCAGAAUACAAUUUGGAGGCGAGGAAAAACUUCAACAAAUUUACAGUCUGCCGCUUUUGACCACUCGCCACUGUCUCCUUACCGGGUUGAGGCCCCCUUCAAUGGGUUCUAAUUCUAAGAAGGGGGUGGUGCCCUGAAUCAAUCAAAAAACUUAUUGAUUUAAUUGAAGGAAACUAAGACGAUUAGCUUAGCUAGCAUUCUGGGAGGUGCUAACGAGCAAGAAAAGGGGUGUGCUAAGGCGCAACGACUUUCGCGCAACUGCUACGCCCUUGCUUCUUGCUCGAAGUCUCGAAACACUCUAUCUCAUGCUUUCAUAGGAAAAGAUGAUCUGGACCUUUCAAGGUCAAGAUCCCAAUGAGUUGAACUAUGUUCAACGAAUCUCUAUACCUUAGUCUCAACUCAUUUGGAUCACAUUACAUACACCACUAUGACAACCCUAUUUAAUGUGAAUUUGAAAACACUGAACAUUAGUCAAAAGCGAUAUGUGGAAUCAUCUUGCGCCAUAUGUACUGAGAUUGUUCGGGAGACAUGGUCCAAGCCCGGUGAAAAAAUGCAAUAAAAAAAGAUUAUGAUGUUAAAGAGCCCUUGUUUUUCCAAUUUCCCGGCUACUACGUGUUGAUUAUACUUAUUUAAGUCCGACGUAUUUGUAUAUUUUGUAUUUUUCUUCUUUUUUUUAUGAUUUUUCCUUUGAUCUGCUUAUUCCUGUGAAGUUAGUGUGAAUUAUUACUUUACCAUACGUCGGAAUAUGCUGUAUACAUCAGUUCCUUUCUUAUAGAAAUUCGAAAGACUUUUCAAAGUUGAAUAUUCAGUUGAUUUACCCCUUAUUACUAUUACUAUUACAAUCAACAUUUCAGAAUAGUGCAAAUUUUUUAUCUCUCCAUCAUUUAGAAAAUCUAAGAAUGAAUCAUUGAUAAUUCACCACAUCAUUGAUACAAACAAUAUCCAGAUACCAAAUCCUACUUCUAUAUACUAUACUCCCCACAAACUAGAUGAAGCUCGUGGGAAGGUCAAAGAAAGAAGAGGCAUCUUCCUGGCUUAGAAAUAGAUCAAAAACCCACCCUUCGCCCACCUCUCCCUCAGCGAGGAAAUAGUAGUAGCAACAGUCUCCCCAUUAAUUCAAGGUUACAGUCCCAACCAAGUCAAAGAGUCUGGUACGAACAAAGACAUUAUAAUAGCUUGAAUCACUCGAAAGGGACCACACAACAAUGGCUUAUAAUUGGAAAACAUAACAACUGCUCACCCUGACUACGUCUGUAAGUUAAGAAAAGCUCUUUAUGGGUUAAAACAAGCACCAAGAGCGUGGUAUGGGGUUAGGAGCGUUUUCAAUAUGAUUAUUUUCUUGUAUUUUUUUGAUGAGAAAUGCGAGUCUGUUUUGUCCACUUUCUUCAUCCCCUCUAUCAAAAUGAUCAAAAAGGAAGGCGAACUUGCUUCUUAUUCCCAUGUUGGAAAAGUCAGUAUGGUGCCCUAAAAGACGUGCAGACUGAGUGAGUUUCCACCAAUCCAGAUGUGCCAAAGAUUGAGGACUAUGAGGGUACGGUGCUAUCUUUGUACUUUGUUUGUUGCACAUGGCCUAAUGUACACUUGCCCCUUUUUUCUCACUCUUUUGGUAUCAAUUUGAAUGCGGGAGUUUGGAUUCAAUCCAAAGAAGAAAGAACCCAUUUAUUCAGAGCGAAAGCAAGAGAUAGUUGGAUUGUAAGACUUUCUCUCACAUCCCACUUCCUUCCAUGAGAUAGUCAAUUUUAGCAUCUUUGAAGAAUCAUAUUGAGAAAAAGAAAGAAGCCUGGGGAUAAAGUGAUGAGCCCAAGAUGUUAUAAAGCUUUGGGUCGUUAAUGUUUAAUAUAAUAUGCAGAAACCCUAACUUUCUGUCUUCUCACAGCUCUUUAUCCAUCAUGCUAGCGAAAAAAGUGAAAGUACGACAGGCUCUUCCAUGAGAAAAGGGAUUCCUUAGUUAAUAGGAUAUGUCCUUUAACUUGGAAGAUUGGAAAACCUUGGUUGUUCUUCAGACCUUUUUCUGUGGCAUAUUAGAGCCAUAUAGUCUCCCGCCAAUAAAAAAUCCCCUAACAUUAUCAGGUAGGUCCAGGAUCUCUAAUCUAACUUCGUGAAUCGAAUUAAAGAGUUCUCGAUGUAGGGCCCAGUUUGUCUUGUCCAGAAGAUGGAAUUUUCACAAAGCACGUGCAUCCGAAUAGUCAUCAGUUUGAAAGAGAGUAGAACGCCCAAAGAUAACGUGUAGAGGAGAUCGCUCACCAAUAAUAAGAGUCAUCGUCUUCUUACUCAGAUAAGCAGCCAUUAUUAAAUUGGCUUUACUAGGGAUCCUAUAAUAGGAGAACUUUCAUUUCCAGUAGAAAUCCUAUCGCACUCUCUCCCGCUUGGUGGAUGAAAUCUUCUCUCCUUUUAGAAUUCUUUCUCCCACAUACCUUUUUUUCCCUCUUUCAUCGAAGAGGAAAGAAUAAUCUAAAAUAUAAAAGCAGACGGUCUCGUAGAUAAAGAAAGAGAUUAUUGACGUUAGUAUACUAAUCUAUUCAUUGGUAAGGCAUUUCUUCCCGUGACCGCCUUUCUUACCAAAAAGCUAACCCAACAAAAUCUAGGUUUUUUCUAGACUAAACCCAAUGUUUUAUUUCUGUCCUAGUUGAUCCUGAUUCGACAUUAGAAGUAUAUCGAUUUUUCCCCAAUAACCGUAUACUUUUGUUUGGAAAUACUGCAUACUAGAUUCCAUCUAUAAAUCGUUUUUCUUCCUUAUGAGUGAAAGUCUCAAUAAGAAUGCUAGUUCUUACUGUUCAUUAUGAUAUGAAUAUACCACAACCUAAAAGCCAAAUCAUACAAAUAUGCUUCACGUUAGGAAUAAUCUGAGUUUUGAAUCCAUAAAUAAUUGCUAAUAUAAGGGUAAUCAUGUCGCCUAUGAUAAUUCGAUUCCAUAGCGUAAUUUCGAUUUAGUCAUACCCUCAGAAUAGAACUUUUGUUGUUAGAGGCUUGAUAGAUCUUUCCAAGCUCAUUCAAUUCUGCUCAUUCAAUUCUUAAAUAAGAAAUCUUAUCUUUCUUUAUCGAGAUUGGGUUGGUGUUCAGUGUACCCCUAAAGAAUUUCAAGAAACUAUCUUUACCACGAAGUAAGUUGAUCGAGAAAGUGGCAGGACCAUAAAAUAACGCCUUGAGUUGGACUGUGGUCCCUUCGACAGUUGUGGAUGCGCUUUACUUCUUUCUGAGUAUCCCAGUGCAGCAGUCUUGUUCAAGCUAUGGAUCUUAUACAGAGAAGGAGUGUGAAAGCCCAUCUGUGGCUGCCAAGAGAAGGGAACUGCCCAUUUUCAAUUUUACCGGGUCCAUGUCGGAGACAACGGGGCAGUCGUUACACCAUUCGUGCAGGUGGCUACUUAUGCGAAAAGGAAUUUCGCUACCUUAGGAUAGUUAAAGUUACUGGCCCCAUUUGCUGGGGCUUCCAUUCAAAACAUUCGAACAAUACAAAGCACAGAAGAAAGAAAACCACAAAUGCAAACAACAGUAACAAGUACAGACAUAAAAGUGCAAGAUGAUCCAUACACGCUCGACCGCAAAAAGGAGAAAACGACCUUAAUAUCCACUCUGAUUAAGAACAAUAUGUUUUUCUCCUUUCCUUGCCCUUCUUGAUGAGGUGCAGCACCAACCCGAAAAUGAUAGAUUUCUAAAAAAUAAGUAAAAGCAGAAUGAAAGACAGUCCUAUAUUAACAAGGACGAGCUUUUUCAGGAAGAAAGCUUCGCGCCCAACUGCUUGUAUAUCGAUCGGAAAGAAGCAGCUACAAAUGCUAUCAGUGUUUCUUCCUUCCUAUCUAAGAAAUGCUGGCUUUUUCGAUUGACCCCGAUGCAUGUAAUGGAAUCGGGUACUAUACCUUUUUGAGGUGCGCAUACACAAAGGGAAUUCUUUUCUUGCCCAAUACAAAAUUGAAUAUAAGAAAAUACUUUCCAGAAAAAAUAAAAAAAACAUUUAUUUUUCUGGCUACGGAUUUAUGGAACCUCACUUACUAGUUUAAAGUUAAAAAAUAGAUUUCAUGCAAAUUGCACACUGAGCUUUUGGUAUUGGUGUCCCGGGGCUAAUAAUAUACGAAGAAAGGAGGGGGAAGGACAGAUCAACCAAAGAUCCUACUCCUCUUAGAAAGGGGAAUGAAUCAUUUUUUUGAUUUUUGAUUUUGUUUUAAGGCCCCAUCAACGAAAGAACAAAUUGAAAAAUAGUAAAUUUGAUGAAUAUACAUUUUAUACAAUCACAUCUUUAUCACACUUCUUUGUCUUCCAAGUCAAAAAUAGUUUCGUUCUAAACUCCUUUCUUUUUCCAUUUAGCUUUUAUUGUUUGUUUGGGUUUGUAACUAUGUGACCACUGAAAGUGGAAGAGCUGUUUGAUGUGACUUCAUUAGAUGAUUGUACAAGAAGGAACUAGAUAGAUUAAAGAGAAAAAAAGAACAAAUGAUAAAAAAUGAUAAAUAAAGGAAUUUUGAUUGGAUUGGGUUAGGCAUUAUUUUGUGGGACAUACAGAUAGUUUACCAAGAAGAGCAAAGGAGAUUCCACUAAGAACUUCUAUUGCUAAAAGAGCUAAUUCAAGUGCAGUACUUACUGUAACAAGAACAACGUGAAGUCAAAAAAAUAGCUCGACGUCAGGAUGAUAAUAAGUUUAACACCUCUCAUUCUUAUUCAAUAUGAAAACGAAAAAAAAGAUUUGAAUUUGAUGAAGAAGACACUUAUUGUUCCUUAUGUCUUAUGUAAGGGCUUAUAAGAGAAUGUGUAAUGUGGCUAAAUAGGCGGAUGGCCUAAAAAAGAACUUGAUGGAUUAUGAGAGACUGCCUCGAGCCCAUGUGAAGGGUUUGGUUAAGAUAUGCCAGAUUCCACCAAGUAUACAAAUGGAACCUAACCAUACAUGUCCUCCGAUUAGAUUUUCUAAAUCGUCCACACUAACAAUCUGUGGAGGAAUAUAUAGUAUUUCAUUGCUACAAGUAUGAAUUAUUGAAAAUAAUAAGAUAUGGAAUUGGACAUCUUUCUUUGCCUUGCUUUGCCAAAUAGAGAACUUCUAUUUGGAAGCUCCAAGCGAAAAUAAAAGUCCUUCGGGUAUCGCCAUCGAUUACUCAAAAUUCAACUCAUACACAGGGAGAAUUUCAACUUAUAUCAGAGUAGGAAAAAUGGAGAUGCUGGUAAUCAUAUACAUAGUAAUGAAUGCCCGACCUUUCUAGUGGCGAGGCUUACCCCUCCGUAUUACAGGACCUAAAAAAAGGCUUUCAGUAGCGCCCUUAGAAUCUAAGCCUUUUGACAAGGGAACUCAUGUGGAAGACCACUUCCAUUGUCUAAAAGCCUUAUUAUUGGAAGGAAACAGCACGACGAUUGACUCAGGCUCUAAUUUUUUUUUGUUUUCAUAUUGAAUAAGAAUGAGAGGUGUUAAGCUUUUUAUCAUCCUGGCAUUGAGCUAUUUUUUCGUAGGACCUCCCCUACAGUAUCGUCACUACAAUAGAGUUUAACCACCAAGUUUGGGAUGGAUUGACUGAGAAAUUAAUUGAGUACAAAACUUAUCUUUAAGCUUUACCUUAUUCUGAUCGUUUAGAGAGCGAUCACGGGGUCACUGAAUGAGCUUCGCUGCGCUGCGGUCUCAUGAACUGAACUUCAGUGCCUUUCCGCGUGCUAAGCGAAUGGGUGUUGUGCCAUAGGUCAGUUUCGGGGUGGGGAGCGAAGAGAGUCCAAAAGAAUAAUUCGACUCUGCCUGCUGCUUCAUUAUUGAUUUUACCCAUAGAUUGUUAGACGUGAUUCUGGGGCAAUGCGCGCUUCUUUUCUUGCAGGAUCCUGUGUUUUGAUGGACCGAAUAACAUAGAGGACAUGGAAAGAUUGCCAAAAAAGAAGCAUUUUUUCGCACAACUUGCUCAUAGUGCAGGUCCCACUUGUAUAUCGUAUGAAAAAGUGGCAUCGUUAACUUCAGAGAAGGUCGACCUCCUUAUAAACAUUGAAUGGUCCGAUUUACUUAUUUGAAAACCGUUGCGAAGCAUGGUUUGGAAAGGCCAUCUGAAAGACGGUAUAUAUUAACAUUCAAACCUAUUCCUUUGUGGCUGCUAUUUGUAUGGUCUGUUCUAGUGACAACAUUUCCACUUUUAUUAUCACUUUCGGUACGACCUUAACUUUUAUAUCCCUCAUUCGAUAGAUCCUUUUAAUGGACAUUCUUAGUCUUCCUCUGAGGGCCCCAUAGAUCAGAUCAUGAACGUUUCGUAUCUUCGGAACAACCAGAACAGGAACAGUGGACCUAAGUAAAGGAAAAGAUCUUCAAAUAUUUUAUUUCCAUAAUUUCACUUGAUUUGAUAGAAUUUUACCUUCUUCAUCGGGAAUGGUCAUCGCUUAAUGCAUGUAGGGGAGCUGGGGCUUUUCCCCCACGACCCUUUUUAAAGGAGAACCAGAAGAACAACAAUGAACUCAAAGCUAAUGAAGGCAGUUGUUCAGCUGGCUGCGGCAAUCAUUGCAUGCGCUUGUAUCCAUAUGUAUCCUUAUAUUUCCUGGGAAGAUUGUCACUACACCGAUACUGACUCCAUUCUUAUUAAAGGACGUCUUCCAGAUGAAGUUAUCUCUAAUGGACUAAGUGAAGACUUUACUUUUUCUAUACUCUCUUUGUCAAAAAUGGAAAUAAGAACUGUCAAGUGAUUCGUCGAAUGCUUCUACUUAUGUAGAUGGAGUCCAGUAUGCUACUAUAUAUAUGAUAAUUUCCAAGACAAUAUCAGAAUCGAGGCCUCCUCCUUGUACCAAUUGAUGCUGGGGCAGUGCUUACUAUGAAGAAAAAAUAGAAAAGUAGUCUAACUAGAGCUAAGGUAAAAACAUGGGCAAUCCUAGCGGAAUAGGGAGCACUUGGAAUCAAAUGAAUUCGAACAAAGAAAAUGCGGAGUCACUAGUCCCACUAAGGAUUUGUUGUUUUGUUUUUUUGAGGCUUCUCCUUGUCCUUCUAUUUUAUUGGUACUCGGAGGGGGGGGGGGAGAUUCUCGAAGGAUUCAUUGCCGCGUGCGACGGGAGGAGGGAGCAUCCGUAAAUCGGCCCUUCCCGUAGGUUCUUUUCUCAAAGAAUAAAGAAUUGGAGGAGGGAAAUCUUGAUAGAAUUUGAAAAGAAAUGUCUUCAAUCUGGUUCUUGUUUCUUGUAGGUUUAUAGCACGCUAGGCUAGCUAAGAAAGGUAUUCUACCAUGACCCUGGUUGGUUUCCGAAGAUGACCCCUCGUCUUGUCUCCAAAUAACGCUUCGCUUCCAGUUCUUCAAAAGAAUCAACUUAUAUCUCCCUUCUUCAUUGAUUUGGGGGCAAAAGAAGCCGUCUAGCAGAAACGGGGGCCACUGAAGCUAUCUGCGUCAAGUAUUUCAAUUGAAAGAGGAAGAGAGACAAGUCAAAUGCCAACACAGAAAUUGAAAGAGUCAUGCUUCAAAGUGGAAUUCUUCUAAGAUCCAUUGCUCAAUUUUGCCAAGUCCUGGGCUAAGUUGAGCUUCGAAGUCGGGCUUUCUUCCUAAUCUCAUCUACUGAAAAGGGGGUCGGGCAUAGCACAUUCUUUUUUAGGACACAGACUGGCUGAGACUCUCAUGCAGUAGGAGCGGACUAAGUUGGUAUUUGUCUACGAGAGGUGCACUCGUAUUUUGAGGCUUUCAUGAUUUAGAGAAGGACGAUGAUCUAUCGUGUACGCAGGGAUCGCUAUUGGAUAGAGCCGUGUGAGAUACAUUCUUCAAUCGCGAGCCAAGGGAGUACUAUCGCCACGUUAGGCGAGUGGCUGUCAUCCAGGCAUUUCCCCCUCUUUCAUCACCAUUGAAAGCGCUUUGCCGUCCACUCUUAAGAACGGUUCUUCUUCGGGUCUCUUUUUUAAGAGAUCAAUUUUGAUAUUCCAUUACUCUUUUAUCUUGUCCUGCGUAGUCUUCCUCCUAUAAUAGUUAGCAGUACUGAACAAGCGAGUCAUCGGUCCGAGGAAAUAAAAGGACCGCCUUUGAAAAAAAAGAAAGAAAAUGCAUUUCGACCCCAUCGUAGUUCUCAAUCAUUUCGUGGCACUGGGCGUGGCUGAACCUUCUACAAUGGGGGAGCUAAUGCACAGGGAGGAAGCUUAGAUAAAUAAAUACGUUGCAAAUUGCUUGGACUGACAACCUUUUCUCUUUCGUGCCUAAGCGAUGGAGAUGAAGUACUUGGGAUCAGCAGAAUUCUAAAACUAUGGAACCAACUGGUUUCACAUCGGGAGAACAAGAUCCGGAGCAACGACCCCAACAUUUUAGAAGAUAUCUUGAGAAAAGGUUUUAGCACCGGCGUAUCCUAUAUGUACUCAAGUUUAUUCGAAGUAUCCCAAUGAUGUAACGCCGUCGACUUCUUGGGAAAAAGGAGAAAGAUGACUUUAAUCUCUUAUUUCAGAGAAAUAAGUGGCUCACAAAGAAUGAAAAAAAACAUAAAAAACAUAUUAUAUUUGAUCUCUAAGUCCGUACAUAGCAAUCCUGGGUGGGUCAUCACUUGUAGGAAUGGCAUAAUGCUAAUCUAUGUUCCACACGGUCAAGGAAGCAUCGGUUCUUAAUCUCAUUAUGACUUGGUCGUUCGAAAAAGCUGCUGCCCGACCAAGGAAAUAAGGAGAAGAUUGAAAGGGUUAUGAAUUCCAUUGAGUUAGCCCUACUUGAUCGAAUCACCCAGUCUCUUCCAUUCCGCCUACGACCCCUUUAGAAUUCCAAUGUUGCUAGAAGUGGUGUGCUUGAUCGUAGAUUGGGAAGUGCGAGAGAGCAACCCCCGUUCUAACGAAUUUUUCUUCUUUCACUGUUAAGCAAGUCCCGAAUGCUAAAAGAGUUUCUUAGUGCUUCAUUACCUGAAAGAAAUUCGAUCCAUGGAGCUAUCUUUUCUUUUCGAAGAAAGAGCUAGAACUACCUGACCGAAGGAGAUAGACAGGAAGGGAGGUGGUGAUUAGGAUAACCCAAUUAUAGUUGUAGGACAGUCGUCGCUACUGGACGGCGAAAUAGAUUUUGGAAUUUAUUAACAUUCUCUAAAAAAGGUACUGUUAAAAAUCCCGCAGGUACUGAAAGCAUUAAAAGAACCCCCAAUAAUUUACUGGGCACUGUACGAAGUAUUUGAAAUACAGGAAAGAAAUACCAUUCAGGUAAGAUUUCCAAAAGGGUUGCAAAUGGAUCUGCCGGUUCACCAAUCAUUGAAUUCUGGUCUCUCUUUGCUCCCCACCCCGAAAUUGACCCACGGCACAACACCCAUUCGCUUCGCGCGCGAGAAGGCAACGAAGUUCAGUUCAUGAGACCGCAGCGCAGCGCAGCUGAGCAGCCGCGACACAUCCUUACCUUAGCUGAAUCUCGCUGGUGCCACCUAAACGGUAGGUAGGCGGCGGAUGUGUGACAUUCGGAGUUUUCGUUCGUGCACCUGUCCCCAAUAGAAGAAUGAGUGAUCUGUUCUCCUGUGGAUCAUGGCCUUACCACUCGGGCCCUCGGUGGCAGCAAAUUUGGGGGUGGGUUGGGUUGAAGAAGAUGAUAUGGGGUGGGGUGGGGUGGUUUAGAGGGUUAUUAAUAUUUUUUAUUUAAAUCAAUUAUAUAAAAAUUAUGUUUAUAAAAGUGGUGGGAGGAAGGGUUAUUAAUAUUUUUUAUUUAAAUCAAUUAUAUAAAAAUUAUGUUUAUAAAAGUGGUGGGAGGAAGGGUUAUUAAUAUUUUUUAUUUAAAUCAAUUAUAUAAAAAUUAUGUUUAUAAAAGUGACAAGUGUCUUUUUAUAAUUGGUCCCUUUUUAUGUGUUUUAGUCUUUUUUUCAAAAAAAAAAAAAUUGUUGGUGGAUAUAGUGAUGUGGCAAUUUAAAUGAGUUGACACGAAUUAAUUGGCCAUUUUUUCCACGUUGACAGCGAGUGAGACACACUCACUGGUGCUGGUGUCGAAAGGUGUCAAAGUGACACGCUUUAUAGCUACUUGAGGUGGCCAAAAGUGACAACGUUCACUUGAGGAAAAGAAGAUAUAUGCAAAUAGACAACUCAAAAUAUUAUCAAUAUGGAUUGUAAGAGGAAAGUUGAAGAUCUUUCAUUCUUAAUUAAAGAUCUCGAGUUUGAGUUCAUGAAAAUAAAAAUUAAGAUUCGGUAGUAAGCACCGCUCUAGAAAUGGGUCAUACAAUGCGUCAAUCCGUAUUUAAUUAAAUCUCAUAAUACCAAAUAUCGAGUGAAAAACAAAAAUAAGAAAGACAACUGAAAAGGAAAUCAACAUUGAGUGUUGUUUGUGUUUAGGUCUUAGUUUCCUAAUUUGGAAGGGCUACUGCAAAUGGGCAACUGAAAUGGAAAGUACCAUCAAGUGCUGUUUGUGUUUGUACCCACAAAUGGUUGUGAUAGAUAAAACCGAGUAAUAACUUAUCCCGAGAAUAGUUAUCCCAUAAUUGCAGUGUUAUUUUUAUCACAUAGUGGCGUAGGAAUAACCAUCUCAAUAAAACUUUUUCGCCAAACAAAGGAGACCUUACACUAACCAAAUUACUUUUACCUAUAAGAUUGUGUGUAAAUAUCAUUUGGAUUAUUGAGUUAUAUAUAUUUUUUUUAAAAAAACAAACUUCUAAUCAUCGAUGAAUACAUCAAUUAAACUCUCCAGUAUUGCUUUAGCAUUUACUCAUGAGUCAUGUCCUCCUCCAGAGUGAUUUGACCCAUCUUAAAGCAUAAAAAAUUACUAGUAUUUGAUAUUUAUAUUAAUUCAAUGAAUACAUGAUACAUAUUUUCAUCUUAAUUUAUGACUUAAUCAUUAAUAUCCGGAGAUGCAAACAACUUUUUUAGGAAGGAUAUGUGAUGCCACCAAAAUUUUAAUGGAGUAUGCAAACGAUAAAUUUUAGAAGAUAUUUAUUUUCUCGUGUCUAUAAUAAGGAAAUUCAUAAAAUAAACUUGUAGCAUCAAGUAACUUACUAUGAACUACCUUUGCCACUACAAAGAAAUUAGCAAAUAACUUUUUGUCCGAUUUGGACAGUACAAUUUUUCAACGAAGGGGAUUCAAUUGAGAUGUAUAAACAGAAUUUUGUUAAACGUAUUGUCAAGGGUAGCUAAAAACCAGCAUUACUCCAAUGUCUCCAAAUGAGGUCUAACUUCUAACCGAAGUUUUGAUGAUAGAAAGGUAACAUGUCACAUCUUUAGCUAAAAUAGAAACAUAUAGUAAUCCCAUCGUUUCAUAAUAAAUGAAUUAUUGGAUUUUGACACACAUAUAAAGGAAAAUGCAUUAAAGACAAAAAUUUAACACAACUUUUCAUUUUUACCCUAAAAAAAGAAAAAGUUGACGUUGUAAUACUUUUUCAAAAGUUAAUUGGUUGUCAAAUCAUAAGGGCAAAUUUAGAAAAAAAAUUCAAUGAUUCACUUAUUUUGAAACACCAAUAAAUACUCUAAUAAUUCACUUAUUCCAAAACGAAGGGAGUAUUUUUUAGUAUGUAAGGCAGAAUUAAAACCACUAAAUUGUAACACCAACAAAAUUAUAAAUGGGGUUAUUUUAUGAAAAUGAAAUUUUUUAGGAAAAGUGAAAAUAGUGAAAUCAGUAUAGAGCUAUUUUUUAGUUUGGUAUUUAACUGGCCGAACAAAGAUUUUUGAAUAAAGUGAAAUAAUUUUCUGAAAUAAAGUGAAAAAUAUCAAUGGUCAAAGGGCUCCUGGGACUAAUAAAAAUUCGAGGCUGGAAAAUAAAGUAGGAAAAAUUAACUAAAUAAACAUAUUAGAUUGUUUAUUACAAGUUGUAGCAAUUUUUUUUAGUUUUCAAGUUAUAGCAAUUUUUAUUUAAAAAAAAUUAAAAAAAAUUAUUUUAUAUAUUUUUCAUUUUUUUUUUAAAUAACAUAUCAAAAUCAUUACAGAAAAGGAAAAUAUAGAUUUAAUAUAAUUAAGAUGCAAUAUUCCUUCCUUAAAUAUAGAUAAAUUUAAAUAACAAUAUCCCUUCCUUAAAUAUAGUUAAUAGUAACUAUAGAUACCAAUCACACCACUAUUCUCUCUUUAACCAUUUUUCACACCACUAUUCUCUCUUUAAUCAUUUUUUCUCCAUUUCUAAAUAUUUCAAUUUUUUUUUACCUUCAUAUACAUUCGUUUUUUUUUUUUCUAUCAGAAAUUAUUAUUUCAAUAAAAAGCUUCCACAAGUUGUUGUUGUUUCAUGCAACGUUUGAAUAUUUUUAUUGAGAAGAAACGUUCAAUAGUCUGCAAAAAAAAAAAAAAAAUGAGACACACAAAUAUGAAUUGUGCUAAUUUGCACUCAAUCAUGAUAUAUCAUGGAGGAAGAUGGGAUGCCUCAGGUAUAUCUUGGUUAUUAACAUUGAUAUUUUACAUUAAUUCUUUUUCUUUUCUUUCUGAAAUAUAUAUAUCGUCUAAUUAUUGAUUAAGAAAAAGACAUUAAGAGAAAAAGUUAAUAUUAUUUUUUAUAUUUGUUUUUAAUUAUGUGAUGUUGACAUAUUGAUUAUUCACGAGAACGUGGUGAAAAGUCACAAAAAAAUAUUGUCCAAUCAACUUAUAGGGGUAUGAUUAUUGGUUGUCAAAUGUUUUCAUUCGGUUAUAUUACAUUCAGUGGCCCAUUAUGAUAUUAUAUUUAUUGUUUUAGUAAUUUUUUAAUUUUAUUGAUGUGUAUGUUUUGACAAUAUUAAAAUAUGUUGAAAUUAUCAAAUUUCAUAUGUUUAUCAUUUUUUUGAUGUGUAUGUUUUGUGAAUUUUAAAAUAUGAAUUUUUUAAUUAUAUAUAGUUAUCGAUUAUUGAGUAUUAGUUACUUAACAUAUUUGUAUAAUAUUUGCAGGAAGACCUAAAGAUUUUUCUAUAGAUGAAAUUAUGUAGGAAAAAUUAACUAAAUAAACUUAUUAGAUUGUUUAUUACAAGUUAUAGCAACUGUUUUUAAUUUUCAAGUUAUAGCAACUUGGGAAAAGGCUCAAAUAUGCCACUAAAUUAUCAGAAAUGACUCAUUUAUGCCAUCCGUUAAAAGUUGGGCUCAUUCAUGCCAUCGCCAUUACAAAACUGGCCCAUCAUGCCCACGUGGCAGCUUAUUGGAGGGCCACAUCAUUUUUUAAUUAUUUUUUUAAAUUUUUUUUCUAAACAAAAAAUAAUUUUUUUUGAUCCAUUAAAAAGAAUUCACGCAACUUUUUGAUCCAUUGAAAAUUAGUUUGAUCUACGCUUCUAAAAUUUUGAUUAAUUUUUCAUAAUAUAUUCUUAAAACAUUUUCGUUCGAUUCGUUUUUUUGUCAUUUUUGACAUAUUAAGAUUGUUUUCAUAUUUUAUCUUUAAUAUUAAUUAUUUUUUUCUUCAACUUAAUUUCAAAUACAAUAGUAAACAUCAUUUAAUAAAUAUAUUAUCAUAAAAUAACUAUUUUAAUUGACGGGCGAGUAACUAAAAGGGAACGGAGAGAGUAUACACUCCACGCUUUUUAUCACUUUAUUUUUUUUUUUUAAAAAAGAUUCACAUUAACUAAAGCUUUUGUCAUUUUUCAGUUGAAAUUGAAGGGAUAUAUAAACAUCAAAUAUUAUUAUUAUUAUAUUAUUAAUAGUUAGCUUCUCAUUUUNNNNNNNNNNNNNNNNNNNNNNNNNNNNNNNNNNNNNNNNNNNNNNNNNNNNNNNNNNNNNNNNNNNNNNNNNNNNNNNNNNNNNNNNNNNNNNNNNNNNNNNNNNNNNNNNNNNNNNNNNNNNNNNNNNNNNNNNNNNNNNNNNNNNNNNNNNNNNNNNNNNNNNNNNNNNNNNNNNNNNNNNNNNNNNNNNNNNNNNNNNNNNNNNNNNNNNNNNNNNNNNNNNNAAUAUUUCAUGUAUGCUAAGACAUACUAUAUGCUUAAUUAGAAUAGCGUUUGGUUAUAAAUUUUAGUAGUAGAUUUUAAAAAAAAAAUUCUUUAAAUAUUUGUUUGAUCAUGAAAAAUUAAUCAAAUUUUAAAAGUAUAGAUCAAAUUAAUUUUAAUGGAUCAAAAAAUUGGGUGAAUUUUUUUUAAUGGAUCAAAAAAAAUAUAAAAAGAAAAUUAUUUUUAAAAAAAAUGAUGUGGCCCUCUAAUAAGCUGCCACGUGGCAAGGCUGUUUUUUAAAAUCGGCUAUUAAAAAGUAAUGGUAUGGAUGAGCCAGUUUUGUAACAGCGAUGACAUAAAUGAGCCCAACUUUUAACGGAUGACAUAAAUGAUUCAUUUCUGAUAGUUCAGUGGCAUAUUUGAGCCUUUUUCCUAGCAACUUUCAUUUAAAAAAAAUAAAAAAAAUUAUUUUAUAUAUUUUUCGUUUUAAAAAAAAAUAUAUCAAAAUCAUUACAGAAAAGAAAAAUAUAGAUUUAAUAUAAUUAAAAUACAAUAUUCUUUUCUUAAAUAUAGAUAAACUUAAAUAACAAUAUCCCUUCCUUAAAUAUAGUUAAUUGUAAUUAAUAGAUACCAAUCACACCACUAUUCUCUCUUUAGUCAUUCUUUCUCCAUUUCUAAACAAUCCAAUUUUUUUUUCACCUUCAUAUACAUUCGGUUUUUUUUUCUAUCAGAAAUUAUUAUUUCAAUAAAAAGCUUCCACAAGUUGUUGUUUCAUACAACGUUUGAAUAUUUUUAUUGAGAAAAAACGUUCAAUAGUCUGCAAAAAAAAAAAAAUGAGACACACAAAUAUGAAUUGUGUUAAUUUGCACUCAAUCAUGAUAUAUCAUGAAGGAAGAUGGGAUGCCUCAGGUAUAUCUUGAUUAUUAACUUUGAUAUUUUACAUUAAUUCUUUUUCUUUUCUUUCUGAAAUAUAUAUAUAUAUUGUCUAAUUAUUGAUUAAGAAAAAAACAUUAAGAGAAAAAGUUAAUAUUAUUUUUUAUAUUUAUUUUUAAUUAUGUGAUAUUGACAUGUUGGUUAUUCACGAGAACGUGGUGGAAAGUCACAAAAAAUAUUGUUCAAUCAAUUUAUAGGUGUAUGAUUAUUGGUUGUCAAAUGUUUCCAUUCGGUUAUAUUACAUUCAGUGACCCAUUAUGAUAUUGUAUUUAUUGUUUUAGUAAUUUUUAAAUUUUUUAAUUUUAUUGAUGUGUAUGUUUUGACAAUAUUAAAAUAUGUUGAAAUUAUCAAAUUUCAUAUGUUUAUCAUUUUUUUAUUUUUUUGAUGUGUAUGUUUUUUGAAUUUUAAAAUAUGAAUUUUAAUUACAUAUCAUUAUCGAUUAUUGAGUAUUAGUUACUUAACAUAUCUAUAUAAUAUUUGCAGGUAGACCUAAAGAUUUUUCUAUAGAUGAAAUUAUGUAUGAUGCAAAUACCAAGUGUAAAGAAUUGCUAAAUGCAAUAGCAAAACAACUCAAGAUCGACAUCAACUCAAUUCAAAUUUGAGAUUAAGUUCUUGAUUGAUAGAUCCCCAUCAAUGAUCAUACACAAUGAUACAGGAGUCAUGAUGUAUCUGGAUAAAAAAAAAUUGUUAUCAAUAAUCAUACAUAAUGAUAAAGUCAUGUUAAACUUUUGUUAUGUUUCUGCAUGAUGUUUUCAGAUAUUAAAAUAUGUUUUUGUUGAUUUUAUAAAAACAAUAUCAUCUUUAGAUUCAAUAACAUAAAUUUUUGUUUCUGAAAUUGUAGACUCAAUAUGUUAUAUAUGUAUAUUGAAAAAUAUAAGUAGAUAACUGAUAAUAAAAUAUUAAAAUACAUAAUUUCAGAUAUCUGAUAUCAAUUUUAAGAUUUAAAGAAAAACNNNNNNNNNNNNNNNNNNNNNNNNNNNNNNNNNNNNNNNNNNNNNNNNNNNNNNNNNNNNNNNNNNNNNNNNNNNNNNNNNNNNNNNNNNNNNNNNNNNNNNNNNNNNNNNNNNNNNNNNNNNNNNNNNNNNNNNNNNNNNNNNNNNNNNNNNNNNNNNNNNNNNNNNNNNNNNNNNNNNNNNNNNNNNNNNNNNNNNNNNNNNNNNNNNNNNNNNNNNNNNNNNNNNNNNNNNNNNNNNNNNNNNNNNNNNNNNNNNNNNNNNNNNNNNNNNNNNNNNNNNNNNNNNNNNNNNNNNNNNNNNNNNNNNNNNNNNNNNNNNNNNNNNNNNNNNNNNNNNNNNNNNNNNNNNNNNNNNNNNNNNNNNNNNNNNNNNNNNNNNNNNNNNNNNNNNNNNNNNNNNNNNNNNNNNNNNNNNNNNNNNNNNNNNNNNNNNNNNNNNNNNNNNNNNNNNNNNNNNNNNNNNNNNNNNNNNNNNNNNNNNNNNNNNNNNNNNNNNNNNNNNNNNNNNNNNNNNNNNNNNNNNNNNNNNNNNNNNNNNNNNNNNNNNNNNNNNNNNNNNNNAUUGACUACUAAAGAUAAUAAAAAAAAUUAAAAAAAAAAUAAAAAAAAAGUCAAAUAUCAUGUAUAAAUGCAAAAAAAAUAUCUUUACUAUAUUUGAUUCCUUAAUUUGAGAACAAAUUAUGAAACUUAAUUAACAAAAUAAAAAAUAAGAUAUAAUGAUUGAUACCAACAAUAACACUUGCCAUAAUUAUCAAAAGAUUUAAUGAAGAGUGAUAACUAUUAAAGGUUAUAAAUAAGGAUAUAUUUGAAUAUUAAAUAUGAAAAAAAAACAUUAUUUAAUAUUUAAAAAAAUAAUUUAAAGAAGAUAAAUUAGUGGUUGAAACUAACUUUUAUCGGUAAAGUUGAUUUGGAAAUCCUGUAAACAUUGGCUUACCGAGUUAAUUAAUAAAGUUAACAAAAAGUCAAAUAUCAUGUAUAAAUGUAAAAAAAAUAUGUUUACCAUAUUUGAUUCCUUAAUUUGAGAACAAAUUAUGAAACUUAAUUAACAAAAUAACAAAAUGACAUAAUUGUUGAUACCAAUAAUCUUGUCAUAAUUAUCAAAAGAUUUAAUGAAGAGUGAUAACUAUUAAAGGCUAUAAAUAAGGAUAUAUUUGAAUAUUAAAUAUGAAAAAAAUAUUUUUUUAAUAUUUUAAAAAAUAAUUUUUUAUGAGUAAAAGAUCUUGUGUAAAUAAUAAUGAGUUUUAAAAGUUUAAUUGGAAGUUGGUAAAAGUAAAAGAACUUGGGUUUGAUUUCAGCUAAAAAUACCUCAUAAAACGUGAAUAUUUUUUGGAAUAAAGAUAAAACUAUGAAAUUAGUUCUUUUUUAAAUUUAUAAGAUGUUAAAAAAGGUAAAGAUAGAAGAAUUAUAUUGGUAAUUAAAGACAGUAAAACAUGAAAAAGUUUAGAAGCAAGUUAAUAAAAAGUAAAAAUCAGUUCUUAACUUUAAAAAAUAUAUUUACCAGAUAUGACUCCUUAAAUCGUGAAAAAACUUUAAUAAUUAAUUAUUAAAAUAAAAAAAAAUAUUGAUACCUUAACUUGAGUUAAUAAAAAGUAAAAAAUCAGUUCUUAACAUUAAAAAAUAUAUUUACCAUAUAUGACUCCUUAAAUUGUGAACAAAUUUUAAUAAUUAAUUAUUAAAAUAAAAAAAAUAUUGAUACCUUAACUUGCCAUAAUUAUCCAAAGCUUUAAUUAAGAGAGAUAAAUGUUAAGUAUAAGGAAAGAAUAUAAAUAAUAAAUAUUAAAAAGUUGAAUUUUGAAUAAUUAAUUAUUAUUUAUUUUUUUCAAAAGUUGCUAUAGCUUGUAAUUAUUUUCUUAGUCUAGUAAUUAUUAAAAAGUUAUGCUAUAACUUGCAAUAAACAAUCUAAUAAGUCUAUUUGGGAUAAUUUUCACAAUAAAGUAUCAGUACCCAAAUGUCUAUAAGGCUUUCAUAGCUUAAAGUUGGUCUAUAGUCAUUCAAAUAAUUCCAACAUUUUAUGUUCUAUUAUAUUUUGUGCAGUAAUCACUCUAACGAGGACAACAACUCGAUAACUCUUGCACCCAGGCCUAGUGGUCAUGGAGUAAGUUGAAAAUCAUUAGAUCUAAGGUUCAAAUCUCAAUAGUGUGGUUCGGAGCACAUUACGAGCCAAAAUUCUCAUGCCACGGCAGAGAUCCUCGGUCAAUAUUUCCAGAAUAGAUUCCCCAAUGGCAAAGGCAUCUGUCCAAACUUUGGUGGACAGAGUCACUCAGUACUUGUGUUGGCGGAAGAUAGCAAGUACCUCGUGGAAUUAGUCGAGAUGCUUACAAGCUGUCCGGUCCACCACUUUUACCAAACAAAAAAUAAAUAAAUAAACAACUAGGGUAAGUUUUGAGUCAUGAUUAGGCAUGUCUGUCUAAACCUAGUUCAAGAUGGCCAAUGUAUGUAAAAGACAAUAUACAACAAUGAUAUCUUCCCUUUACUGUCUUCAUGUAGGCCCAGUGAUGAAAGCACUGAAUUCAAUCUUGCAUCACAAAAUCAUUUCACUAAAGCUUUUUGGCUUUUCUAGUUUUCUAGAUGAACAUGACACUUCUAAUUCUGGAUUCAUGAAACUCCCAAAACAAAACAAGAAGUUACACAACUUCCUCAAAGAAAGAUAACUGACCUGGCAACUCUUUAUAGAUAGGCUUCAUUAGCUGGCUGCAUCAUGCAUGAGAUGAGUAUGAAACUCCCACUUCACUGCAGUGAUGAUUAUGCAAUGGGCAGGGUGAAGACUGUAUAUCAGCAAAAUAAGUCAGAUAUCUUGAUCAUGUUUGGGGCUAAAGUUAUGACACAAACUGUAUGUGCAAUUUAGAAGCUUCCACCAGAAUUGUAAUGAUGAUUGAUGGCUCUAUGAGCUCACCAGUAUCACAAGGGCUCGACUGUUCAACAGGAUAUAAGAAGCAGCAACAACAAAAACAUAUCUAGUGUAAUCCCACAAGUGGGGUUUUCGGAGGGUGGUGUUGAUGCAGCCUUACCCCUGCCUUGUGGAGAUAGAGAAGUUGUUUCUAAUAGAAACUCGACUCAAGUAACUCAUAUCGGAAAUCAAGUAUUAAAGCAAAUACAGUAGUGAAAACAGAAUAUAAGAAGCUGAAGACAGGAAUACCAUUACCGGAUGAUAAUAAAAUAAACAAAUAUUGAAAACCAAAGAGGAAACAAUAAAGUUUUUCCUAUUUUUAAUUUGGCUGUUCGACGACCAGGGAGGAGCCCUUAAGGAAACCAUUCCCUGUCU
rnacentral:lncRNA from 1 species